rnacentral:lncRNA from 1 species
AAGAAUCACAAAGUUGUUGAGGUUAAUUCACUUAGAUGUUAGUGACCCUUGUCCACAACAUAAUACUACUCAUGUUGUAUGACAUUCACCGAAGAUCGCUCUCGGUUGGACUAUCAUUUAUUUUGAAUAAACACAUGUCCGAAUACUUUGCAAAAGGUUUCAAAGAAUUCAAGAAAUGUACGUUGAUGAGUAAGAUGUCUAAAGUAUUUACCUCCUUAGAUUUGAUCCAAGGAAAGGUAACACUUUAGAACAGUUUCCUUGAAAGAUAUCAAGGAAAGAAGCAUCAUAAGAUAAUGGAUUUCUCCAUUAAGAGAAGAACGAACUCGAAUAAGAUUUAGUUUGUUGGAUGUUAUCAAUUACCCAUAUAUAGGAUAUAUACUUCUAAGAUAAUAUGAUUAUCAAUUAGAAGAUCUUCCAAAAUUUUCAUGACUUCAUAGGAUGUAGUUGGAAAGAAAGAGAAAUCUUAAUCAUGUUAAGAUUUAGGGUUGUAUGCUAAUAAGCAAUAUUUGUUUAAAGAAUUAUCUUGUGGGUAUCCUUAAAUUAACAUUUGGAUAUCACUUCUAUAAACCAACUAACAAAUGUUGUUUGUUGGGUAGUUCAUUGUAAUCCUACACUAGGAUUUGCCUAAGAUAGAGCAAAUGAAUGAGGGAUAGAACUCAAAGAAUGGGUUCUUUGAGAUACAAGAUAAGUGAUCAACAAAUAUAACAACCUAGUUCCUAUACCACAAGAUCCAAGGUAGUUGAGAAGGAUUUAUAAACUGUCUCAGUUGAAUGGUUUGAACUUUAUGAUUAUGUCAUAGAGUUGCACCUCUUAAUUCGAAAGAAAUAAGAAUGAAAAUCCUUAUGACUACAUUGAAUGUAUAUACGACAUAUACUCAAGGAAAUGGUAAAGUACCAUUUGACCCGAAAUAAUGAAACCUUUAUAGCUAAUUGGUAGCUUAAGGUGACUACAAUCAAAGAGAUUGGUUGACUUUGAAGAAACCAUCUUUGACGUAGUCUUUGUUUCAAUUAAUUCGAAGAUUGCUAGCUACAACUAAAUGGUGAUUCAAUGUUUGGACAUAAUAUGGGUUUCCGAAACCAUUAUUAAGAUAGUCUUGAUAAUAUAUGUCAAAAACUAUGAAUCACAAGACAUGUAAGUUGUAGAGAUCCAUCCAUCAUGAAUCUUAGCAAGCUAGUGGGAGCUAUAAGCGUCUUAUGAGAGAAAGAUCAAAUCGUUUGAUUUCUCAUAAAGAUGUAAAUAAAUCUUUUGUUUACUAGGUUUACAAAAGAUUAGUGGGAGUUAAUCAUGUUCCUAAAUUUGAAUAUAUAUAUAUAUAUAUAUAUAUAUAUACACACACACAUAUAUGAUAUAUUAAUUUUGGAAAUGAAAAGAAUACUUCUUCGUUAAAGUUAUGACUUUAAACAUUCUAUAACGAUAGAAUGUAUAUGGGAGACAUAGUCAAUAAACAUGGGAUGGAAAUCUAUAAUGAUAGAUUUCAGGAUAUAAUUGGAUUAUAUCAAGCCCUAAUGAUAGACAAAAGAUGCUAGGAAGUUUCUCAUAUGAUGAUAAACUUCAAUCAGAAGAACAACUUUAGUAAGACUAGGAGGUAGCUCUUCUAAAAGGGAACGUACCCUUUGACUCCCAAAGAAAUAAUGCGUAAAUAGAAUCCUUUAUGUAUAUGCAAAAAGGUGAUUUAUGUAUUUCAUAUUGUAUGAAAAAACGUUGAUAUGAGUUGUACCAAGAUUGGUACAAGAUGAUAUCAAUGCAAGCCCAUGAUCAGAACCUUGGCAACUGUCAAGAAUGAGGAAGAAUUAGACGUAAUGGAAGCGUAAAUGUAUUAGAUUAUGAAUCUAAUCCAUCAUUGGAUGUUUCUUCAUUAUGAAUGAAGAGAUAAUCAUAUAUCUCUUUAUUAUGACUAAAGAGAUAUUUGGAUGGAAACAUUAAAAGUAAUGACUUUAGUGUGUUCCAUUGUGAAUGCAAAAUAUAUUGCCAUAUAGAAGCUUACAACAAUGUUGUUUGGAUGAGAAAGUUCAUUCAUGAACUCUCUAUUCGGUUCCAACCAGAAAGUGUCUCUAGUGUACCGACACUACGACACUAAUAGGGCGAUAGCUCAAGCCGAGGAAUCAAGGUCUCAUCAUGAUCCGAACUCAAAUGUGAGACUAAACCACAUGAUUAAGAAUCAUGUAUAAUGGUGACGUCGUUAUUCUCAAGGUUGCUUCUAUGGAUAACAUAUAGAUAUCCAUUGUCUAGGCCUACUACUCAGCCAUUUUUGAAAUGACUACAGAAGAGGUAUCAUCAUUGAUGACCAAGCUGAUUGGCUCUAGUGCAAGUGGGAGAUUGUUGGAAAUGUGCCCUAAAACCAAUCAUAUGAUGAUACUUUACGGACAUUUCACAUGUUAAACUAAUCUAGUUUAAUAUCAAGGGCAAAGAUUAUUGUUUUAAGCUGUCUCAUAUAAAUGUUAUAUGCUUAAACGAUAAAUCCAAGGAAUAUGUAAUUAGGAGAAUGUAAUUUAAAGAAGUUAGAUUCAUGAGACCAUUCUCUUUCGUAUACAUAUCCUAAAUGUUCCUGAUCAUAGGAUUGCCAAUUGGGCAUUGACAGUCCGUUAAGAUCAGUACGUGCUGUGUCUUUUCUCAGAGAGAGUGACUGGUCUCGAGUCAUUGGUGUGAUUGACACCAAGACAAGCAUGUAGGUGCUUAAUAGAGAAUGAGUCCACUGAACACGAUCAACGAUGAGUUCUCAUACUUAUGUCACAUUAGAACUCAUGGUUGGGAUAACGCAAAGUAGUCAUUUAACCUGAGGCAUCAUAGUUGUCUUGUGGUUAGGUCCUUGAUCUUUGACUAUGUCAAAGUCACUCUAUCAGAGGGUGUUCACGGCAUAGUUGGGGUUAAGCCACUUAGCCAUGGAUGCAAGUGAAUGCGCAACAAGGGAUCUCUAACCUUCAAACCGUUUGAGGGAGAAUACUCUAUGAUAUGAUUAAGAAUCUUUGGCCAGAGUAUGAAUGAGAUUUAGGAAAUCGUUCCAAAUCACAUUCAAGGUAAUCAUAUAAGUAAAAGAAUCACAUUGGAUAAUAGACAUGAAUAAACUAUCAAACCAAACAAUGUGGUCAAGAGUAUUGUAUUAGAGAAAGACCGUAUUGCAUUGUAAUCCUAAACUGAAUAGGUUCGCCACCUCUUCUGAUUAGCUUGGGUAACCAUGACAUACUGCUAGGUGUCACUCAUGGUUUGUGGAAGCCCUAAACGUGUAUAAACACUAAAGGGAGAAUUGAAAGUAAGUUUCAAUUCACAAUCGAUUUGAAAGAGUUCUAAUCGCCCACUACCUCGCUAAAAGGAACCUAAUGGAUCGUACACCGUGUAAGGUAGAGAUUGAAGAAACAACGGAGAUGAGUAAGGAUAAUUAAAUGGUUUAAUUAUUUAUGGCAAGGAUUAAUUAAUAUGUUAAUUAAUCAAACGAAUAAAGUUCGUUAAAGACCUCGGGUUAGUUUUGGGCCUCAAGGCCCAAUGGGCUUCGAACGUCAAGCCCAUUGACUUAAGUUGUAUGACAACUUAAUGACUAAAUAUUCACAAAGGCCCAAACAGCCCAAUAACACCCUAUGGCCGGCCAUAUUGAUAAAGGAGUGGGUUUUGGACUUAUUACAAGUUUGCCACUCCAAUGAAGGUAGGUAUAAAUGUGAUUUUAUAGCCUUUUCUUCAUUAGGGUUUUUUUUAGAGAAAAGAUGAGAACACAAUGUCUAUCCCUUUCUCUCUAAGAGGCCGGCCACCCUAGAGGAUUUUAGCUAGCAAUCUUACUUCCUCUAGGUCACUUAUCUCUUCUUCAAGUCCAUCCUUGGUGUGGAAAAAUUAGAGGUUCUCAACUUUGGGAACUUGGAGAAUCCUUUCAACCAUCCUCAUCCAAGAAAUCCAUGGAUCUAAGAAGCAAGGAAUAAAGGCCUUCUCCUUGGGUGAUUAGUCUUUGCUUAUGCAAAGAGGAAUCAACAAAGGUAUAAAAUCUCUCAAUUCACUUUGUUCUUGAGUUGAGUCUUGGUUCACCUUUCUACUAGGCUUUGAAUUUCAUGGGUAAUGUUUUGUUUUUUAGUGCAUACAAGCAUGAUUCUGCCUUUAAUUGUUAAUUGCAUGCCAUAGAUGUUGCUCAAAAGAACAUGUUUUUACAAAAUUGUCUUCAAUUUACAUUACUUGCAGAUUCACGGCCGGAUUUACAUUGUUUCAAGACCUCCGGUUUUGUGCAUCAACAUUUUCAAUAACAAGAAAUCUAUAAGCUAUACUACUUAGAGCAUAUUCGAGAAAAACACAAGUAGUAGCUUUGGCAACCAAUUUAGGUAUUUUUGAAUUAGUUAACUUUGUAUAGGCUAAACAACCCCACACUCUUAAAUAUCCUGAAUUUGGUUUAUGGCCUUUCUAUAUCUCAAAAUGUGUAAUUUUUGUUUUCUUGUGUGGCGCUCUGUCCAACACAUAACUAAUUCUUUAAUAACAUUAUUUUCAAUAUCAAGAAAUCUAUAAGUUAUUUAGAGCAUAUCCGAGAAAAACACAAGUAGUACCUUUGGUAACCAAUUUAAAACUUUUAGGAUUAGUUAACCUUAUAUAGGCUAAACAACCCCACACUCUUAAUAUCUUGAAUUUGGUUUAUGGCUUUUCCAUAUCUCAAAAGUGUGUAAUUUUUGUUUUCUUGUGUGGCAAGUUGUCCAACACAUAACAAGCAGUUAAAAUAUCUUCACCUCAAAGAUUAGAAGGAGCACCUGAAUCAAUUAGCAUAGCAUUUGUUAAAUCAAUCAAAGUUCUAUUUUUUCAUUUCGCUACGCCAUUAAAUGUAGGAGAAUAUGAUAGUGUAGUUUCAUUUCUUAUUCUUAAAGAUUGUACAUAGGAUUUAAACCCAGAAGAUUCGUAUCCUUCCCUAUAUCACUUCCAAGUUUUUUAAUUUUUCUUCCCAGCUGAUUUUCAACUUCAAGGAGGAAUUCUUUUAAAUUUAUUAAAAACAUCACUUUUCUUUUCCAUCAAAUAAACAUAAGUAUAUUUGGAAUAAUCAUCAAUAAAAAUGAUAAAAUAUCUAUUUCCUCCACAAGUUAAAAUUCCUUCAAAUUCACAAAUGUCAGUAUGAAUUAAUUCCAAAAAUUCAUAAUUUUUUCAACAUUUUUAUGAGGCUUUUUAGUGAUUUUAGCUUUACUACAACUUUCAAAAUUUUCUGAGUCUUUUGUCAUUGUUGGAAUUAAAUUCAAACUCUCAUGAUUCCUACAUAUUUUCUAUUUAUAUGACAUAAACAUGCAUGUCAAAAUUGUAAAAAAAAUCAUAUAAACUGAAGUAGAAGCUUUAUUACCAUUCUCAACAUUCAUCUUAAACAUGCCAUCACAAGCAUAACCCUUUCCACAAAUACACCAUUUUUGGUGGUUACAUAUUGAUCAUAUUUCAUGGUCUUUUUAAAACCAGCCUUAUUAAGAAGAUAACUCGACAUAAUAUUUUUCCUCGUAGAAGGCGUAUAAAGUACAUCUUUCAAAACUAAAGUCCUUUUAGAGGUAAAUUUGAGAUCAACCUCACCACUUCCAAGCACUUGAAUUGUAUGUGAGUUACCAAACAUAAUUGUCUUCAGCUCCUUAUACGGAGUAUAUUUCUUGAACCAACCUUUGUCAAAGCAACACAUGCAUAUUGGCUCCAUAAUUUGCCCACCAUCCUUCGUCACUUGUAACCAUCAGUAAUCAUCGUAACAAAUGGUUCUUCUGUUACAUGAGCUUGAGGAUUAGGCUCAUGUUCCCAGUAUCUGCAAAAUCAAGCAAUAUUCCCACUCUUGCCACAAACAUAACAAGAUGAAGGGGAUUGUUCGUUUUUACUCAUAUAAUUUCCUUUAUUAUGUUGGUAAGGUUUUCCAAAUUUCUUUAUAUUUUUCUUCUUAGGCUAAAGCUGAUCAUUUUUAGAACAAUUAUUUUUGGACAUGUUAUUGUUUGAUAAGAUUAGAUUUACCUUUGUAGAAUUACCAUUAUCCUCUUGCAUAAGAACAUCUUGUCCUCUUGCCUCUUCCUCUACACAGAUGCAUGUAAUCAAGGUCUCCAAGGAAAUCUCCUUUUUGUUGUGACACUUUGUUUUAUGGAACUCUCUCCAAGAAGGUGGUAAUUUGUCUAUGAUACCAGCUACAAUAAGAUUGUCAUCAAUUUUGACUCCUUCGGAUGUGACUUCCACUAUAAUCAUUUGGAAACCUUGGACUUGCUCUGCAACUGAUUUCCCAUCCACCAUUUGGCAAUGGAAAUCACAGCUUGCUGCAUAUUUCUUUGCACUUGCCUCCUCGAUGUCAUAUUUACUCUGCAAAACUUUCCAUAUCUUUGUUGCAGAACAAUAAGUGGUAUCAUAAUAAUCAUAAAAAUGACUAGCAAGACAAUUCAAGAGAUAAUAUCGACACUUGUAUUCAUCGUUUAAUAUUGUUGGACUUUGUUUCAUGGUCAUAGUGCUCAUCUUCAUUCAUGUUCUCCAUGCUCUGUUUAUUUGGAUUUUUGUCGGUGAGAACGUAGUCAACUUUGAGAAGAUUGAGAUAGAAAAAGACUUUCCCCUUCCACCUCUUGAUGUGAGCUCCCUUGAAACGGAAUGGCUUGUUGAGAUCUCCAACAUUAUCAAAUGGCUUCUUAGGUACAAGCUCCAUGAAUUGAAUCUCCUUAAAAUUGUUAGGAAAAUUACAAGAAAAUUGUAAUAUUCUUCUAAGAAGCGCGUGGACAAUUAGGCUGAGGUGCGCUAGUAUCUCACUUUCUUUAAGAAGAUUCAGGCCCACUACGGUUUGACUAAAAUUCACGAACCGGUGCAGCUAUAUAUCUCUUGACUUGUCCUGUCCAGGAUGCAACAACCUCACUGAAUUUUUGUUUGACUCAAACCUAUCUACACAAAAAGGGAAGAGUCCAAAGCUCCACCAUAACAACACCCUUCUUUGGCUAAGUAAAGAUGGAAAAGAUGGAGGAAUAAGGAAUAAUAGUUGUAGAGGAAAUUGCUUGUGGGAUGAUCAAUAAAAAUAAUGAUAGAGAAAAUGCUACUAAUUAUAGGUUUAUUAUCACCCUUAGUGAAUAGGGUAAUAAACCUAUCAUUAACAACAAAAUGAGUUACAAGAGUUACAGUACGUGAAAGGUUAAAAGACUCGCACUUAAUUCCUCACUAAUAAUGAAUAAUGACAAACUUAAUACCCCACAACAACCAAAUAAUGACAAACAAACUUAAUUUCCCACUAACAACUAAAUAAUGACAAUUAUAAUUAACAUAUUUAAUAUUAAAAAUGCACGAACAUGUUCUUAUCUGCGAGAUUUCUUUUGGGGACAAGGAUUGUCUGCCCUCCACUUCUAGUGCCUUUUUUGUGCCCUCCUGUUUUGUGUGGUUACGGUUAAGUCACGUCAACAUUUUAUAUUGUUUUUUUAUACAUAUAAUAAGACAAAAAUGAAUAGUAAUAUAAAAUGUUGACGUGGCUUAACCGUGACCAUACAAAUAAGAGGACACUAAAAGGGCACCGAAAAUGAAAGGCAGACAAUCCUCAUCUUUUUUUGGAGUGUGAUAUCAGAGGGUAGUGCAGACGUGGGCUCUAUCAGCACUGAUGCUUUCUCUCUUAGUCCAAUCACAGAGGACAUUAAACUGUGACUCUGCUCUCUCAAUGGCGCACGAGUCUCGCAUGUACGACGUUCUGCUAAUGCAGUGGCUCAUAAAUUAGCUAGAAUGAUUUUAUUUUUAUUUGGAUUCUUGUUAGUUCGAGAAACCACGGGAUAUGUGCAAUGUCCUUCUAGCUGAUUGUACCACUUGUUAAUUCAAUAAAGUCACUAUCGUUUCUUCUCAAACAAUAAAAUAAAUCAAUUUGGAAUUUAUUCAUUGCGUUUAAGACAUAUAAAAACAUUAUUUUAUAGAUUGGCAUCUGCUUAAGUAGGACUACAUAAAUUACGUUACAUUUCUCCAUAAAAUUAUGAAGUAGCUACAAACAUUUAGAAAUAAACUGUAUAUGCAUAAUUGCCAGAAAACUCAUCAUCACUCAGCUUCGAUGAGUCCAAUUCCGGCAUGAAAAUCAAAGCCUAUGUGGUAUAAGAGUACCAUAUGAUAGUGGAGCUCGUGGCAGAUGAUCGGUCUUCUUCUCAUUUGAACCUGAAUACGGCCUUUUACAAGGAAUGUAAGUCAUCUCCUUCUCGUUGGGACACUUUCUAGGCUUGGAGAAGAAAGUAGCACAUUCCAUCUUUGUUCUCUGAUUUGGUUGGCCCAAAAUGCAGUUCUUACUAACAUCAAGUAUCUUUCUAUUAACCAAUUUCUGGCACUCUGGACCGACCACAGUGAAAUAGUUGUCUGCCAAAGACAAGUUCCCCAGGGUAGACAACUUGCACACCAUCUCAGGCACGGGUCCGUAGAACUUGUUCUUGGCUAAGUUUAGAUACACUAUCUUGGCCAAGCAAGCAAACGAGGCUGGUAUUGGGCCUGUUAAGUAGUUGGAACUUACAUCGAACACGGUGGCCUGGUUAAGGUACCCAAUUUCGUAUGGCAGACACCCUGUAAAGCGAAGUAUUAAAUAUCGUUAUCGAACAAAAUAUCUACAUUCAUAUCACGAGAUAUCAAUAAAAUAUUGAUAAUUAAUUGGUGCAUUCUAACUAUCUUUUUCCUACAAAUUAUAUGGAAUUAAUGUAAAAAUUUCUUUCUCUUAAAUUACAAAUGAGACUCUUCAACUCAGAACAUAUUUUAACAUUAAGAAAAGUAAUACCACUAAAUUAAGAGUUAAUUGAUCCGUAUCUAAUUUCUACAACGUUCUUUUCUUUUCUUUUUUUAACAAAAGAAAUAAAGAGACAUAAGAGACUUAGACCGAAGAAAUUAUGAUGAUAUUAUUGUUAGACCACCAUACCUGAAAGCUUGUUCCCAAGGAAGAGAACUUCAUAAAGAGUUUUGGAUGCUUGGCCAAUGCUUCUUGGGAUCGGACCGGUGAAUUUGUUGUUGGCAAAAGUGAAGUAAUGGGCAGGUGAGGAGCCAAGAUUGUCAGGGAUCUGCUUAGUGAAAUUGUUGUUGUUGAGGAAGAGCACAUCAACUCCUAGGUCGAAGACUUGGGCUGGGACAGGACCGGUAAAGAAGUUGAACCGGAGGUCCAAAAAUGUCAAAUUUUUUGCUCUUAAAACUUCGUACGGAAACCUUCCAGUUAGCUUGUUGUUGCUGAGAUCGAGCUCGUAGAAGUAUCGAAGCAUGGCAGGGUUUACCGGGACUGAGCCUGUGAAGUUGUUGGAGUUUGCAUGAUAAAACACCAAGUCUGGUAACUCGUCAAGGAAGCCACGGAGUGGAAGUUUAUUGUUGAAACCUUCGAACAUAGCCCCGUUGAUGUCUAAACCGGAGACUGCUUUCUUCUUGUAGACAGGAUGAACGGCGCAGACAAAGCCCUUGUAGUUGCAAACUUCCGCACCUCGCCAUGUCUUUGCGAAGCCCUUUGGGUCGGACUUGAUUUUGGCUACGAACUUCUUAAUCACAUAGUAGGCAAUUUUAAUUCGGUCGCUGUCGAAGGGGUAGGGGGAAGGUGGUGGCGGUGAAGGCUGUGGUGAUGGAGGCGGCGGUGGUGGCAGCACUGGCUGUGGGCUUGGAGGGGGAGGGGGAGCAGGUGGCGGUGGUGAAUGAUGUGGUGAUGGAGGCGGUGGUGAUGGAGGCGGCGGUGGUGAAGUCUGUGGUGAUGGAGGCGGCGGUGGUGAAGGUUUUGGUGAUGGAGGCGGUGGUGGUGAAGGCUGUGGUGAUGAUGGAGGCGGCGGUGGUGAAGGUUUUGGUGAUGGAGGCGGUGGUGGUGAAGGCUGUGGUGAUGAUGGAGGCGGUGGUGGUGAAGGCUGUGGUGAUGGAGGCGGCGGUGGUGAAGUCUGUGGUGAUGGAGGCGGCGGUGGUGAAGGUUUUGGUGAUGGAGGCGGUGGUGGUGAAGGCUGUGGUGAUGAUGGAGGCGGCGGUGGUGAAGUUUGUGGUGAUGGAGGCGGCGGUGGUGAAGGUUUUGGUGAUGGAGGCGGUGGUGGUGAAGGCUGUGGUGAUGAUGGAGGCGGUGGUGGAAAGGCUGUGGUGAUGGAGGCGGCGGUGGUGAAGGCUGUGGUGAUGGAGGCGGCGGUGAUGGAGUCUGUGGUGAUGGUGGCGGCGGUGGUGAUGGAGGCGGCGGUGGUGAAGGCUGUGGUGAUGGAGGCGGCGGUGGUGAAGGCUGUGGUGAUGGAGGCGACGGUGGUGGAGGCGGCGGUGGGCAUGGAGGGGGAGGGGGAGGAGGACAGUCUUGGUAUUUGGGGGAAGGAACAGGAGGGCUGGCACCUCCUCCUCCACCUAUGAUUAUCUCGAAGGCUUCAACCUUACAAUGGUACAAACAUAAAUGCACCAACAAUGUUGAGAUCAAAAGUGAAGAAAUGAAAGAGAAGGCACCCAUGUCUCUUUGUUUAAGCUCAAGGAGUGAGGAGUGGCUAGAAAUGGUGAGGAGAUAAUAAUUUUGUUUAAGCUCGAGGAGGGAGGAGCAGCUAGAAAUAGUGAGGAGAUAAUAAUGAAUAAUAAUAAUAAAAAAAAUAUAUAUUUAGUAUGCUAAGGAGACUAAGAAGGAAAGACUUGAGAAAGAAUAGUCAAGGGUCAUGCGGGUCAUGGGGAAACAGAUAAAAUUGGCCCCAAAAAUGUUGUCUGAGGCCGAGAGUUGAGCUCUCAUUGUCAGACAGAGACACACUAUUGUUAUACAGUAUUAUUUGUCAUUCACUCUGAUUCCUUGCAUUAUUUUUAUAUUUGCUUUAUAAAGUGUAUUGGUGCCUACCAAUAGUUUUACUAGAUUGGCCUUUACUAAAAAGAUUUAUACAAGUGAUUGGAAUCGAAGGAAAAAUACACCACUUGAAGAUGUGCUACAACUUUGUUUUGAUUGGGAGUCAUUCAUUUCACAUGGGGGUGGAGAUUUCAACUUCUCAUUUCCACACGAGCAAAAAUCCACCUUGACUUCCAAGUCCAUGCCCGAUGCCCUGUGCAAUUUCUUUUAGAGGGUACCAAAAGCACUUUUGGAUUGUUUCAACACAUGACAGACAAGUGUGUGAAUUUUGAUAUUCAAUUUGGUACUCCUAAUAACUAAAAGGAUAAUAUUUGCAUUUCGUACUUAUGGAAUAUAAACUCACUCUAUCACUUGCAAAUAACGUAUAUUCAUCGUAAAAAUUAAAUUGAAAUCACUCAAUUUCUAGCUUCUAUUUGGAGAUCAUUCUUACAAAAAAAAUCAUUUGAAUUAGAUAUUGUUUAGUUAUCUAGAAUAUUUAGGACAUGUUUUGCCCCCACUUGAAAAUAGGGAACUUUAACAAAAAAACCACAUUUUUACACUAAAAGGUCAAUCCUGAUACUAUUCACUUUACCCUUUAUUUUGUCCUUAUCAUUAAAACUCAAAACUUUCAAGUCAUUUUCAUUAAUUCUUCUUUAAAAAUAUAAUAUUAUGAAACCCAAUAUGUCACUUGAAUCAAAGAUAAUUGAUGGGCAACAACUUCUAAUAUAUAGAUUAAAUUAUAGAUGUUGAGUCCGACUGCUUACUAGGAGAAUACAAGUAUAAUUAAUAGUCGUUAGGCUGAGGAGGGAAAUCUAAAUGUCCUUAAUCGACCAAAUAAAUCCCAAUUAUGAAAUAAACGAACCUGUAAAAACUUGACAGGUCCAUCAGUUCAAAACCAAUUUUUGACCAAACUCACGAUAGAGAAACAUGUAACUUCUAAUACAUUUAGGAUGGUGUUACCUACACUCUUUUUUACAUUUAGAAUGGUGUUGUCUCUGUUUUUUUUUCUUUUUUCAGUUUAUUCGAUUUGACAAUUGAAAAUUAAGAGAAUGUGAAAAAAGAAAAAUAAGGUUAGCACCAACCUAUAUUUAGUUUGAAUACAUCUAGUAGAAUUUCUCUUCACUUAAAUCUAGUAGAAUUUCUCUUCACUUGUAAGUAAGAGGUUUUAGGUUCGAUUCCUACCAAAAGCGAAUUUGAACGAUAUUAUUGUUAGUCUAUUAUAAAGCUAAAUUCACUAUUUCUUUUUUAGUGUAAAUAAUAUUGUGUUAAAAAAAAAUUCAAUCAUGAAAUGAUAUUUUUCAUGUUUAUAUUUUACGUGGAAAGGAGCUUCGUACAAUAGGGUAUGCAGUGCCUUUUCCCUUUUUAACUUUGUAGUACAGUGUUUGCUUGGCAAAGUAGCACCUUACUUGGGGCCUCUCUUGCACACAAUACAAAAGCAAAGUUCGACUUCUGCAAAAGAGGAAGUAUAUAAUGUUAUGUUUAAGUGCUUUGCAAAGGAUCGUUAAGGUGCAGUUUUAUUCGGUUCUUAUUUUUUUUCAGUUUUUUUGGGUUCGUUUUCGGUUUUUUUUUUCUUUCAAAAAAAUGAAAAAAUUUGAAGUCUUAAAACAUUGAUGGCAAGUCUUUCCUCUAACUGGGUUAUAAAUCCGCUUUCCAUCACAGCUUCUCAUGCUCCUCUAUGUAAAUAUUUGGCCUAUCACCCUCCUCCAUAGUUAUACCUUUCAUGUAUGAAGCCUCAUCCUUCCUCGACACAUGCACCUCUGCGUAGCUCACUGGUGUCGUAUUCUUCAAUCUGAACCCAUAAACCAAAUCAUGAAAAAAGCAAAAGAAAUCAACUUUAACAAAAUUGAAGUAAAAGUAACUGAGAACCCAAUCCACAUUCUCCAAAAUCAAGUGCCAAAAAGCAUGCACAAUCAGAAACAGCUCCAAACCAACCACAAUCACAAACCUGGUCGAAUAGAUUCAAUCUUUAAACCAAAAACGAGUGUAAUUUUUCAAAAUUUGAGAACCCAUCAAACAUUCAAAACCAGAAACAAUAAAAAAAUCCACCAGAAUCAGAGACCCAUUUGGUUAAAUAUUCUAAUUUCUAAGGGCAAAUAAUGUUCAUAAUCCAAGAAGUUAAUAGAGGGCAUGGAAAGAUUACCUAGAAGAACGACGAGUGGAUCCUAGCGACCGAAUGGAAGGGGGUCCAAACGGCGUUGUACUUCGGCCGGAAUAGCUCUUCGUUAAUCUAGUCGAUUGAAAGUUAGAUUUGAGCUGAAGAGAGAUAUCAACGAUGCCGAGCUUUUACAUUCUUUCGCGGUUUUCUCUGAUUCGAUCUUCUUUGGACUGCUCGUACAGAGACUUGGGGGUUUGGAGAAAGAGAUGAACAAACUAAGAAAGUAGAGCAUGGAGGUGCAAGAAUUCAACGGUGGGAGAGAGAGAGGUAGAGAAGUCAGUUGAAAGAGGAGAUGAAAUGGGAGUAAAUGUGACAGCCCGUCCCGAAGAUAUUUAUUAUUUUAUUAUCAAUGACAUGAAUAUACUAUUUUACCCCCGAUUAUGAGCGUUGUGGUGUGUUAUGUAUGUAAGUGUUGAAAUGGAUGGAAAGGAAAGAAAAUAAAAAGAAGAAGGGAGGUCACGUGUGUGUGUGUGUGCGUGGCUGGUAGAAGAAAAAGAAGAAGAAGAGAUUGGGCAAAGCUGCCUAACCAGAAGAAGAGAGCAGGAGAUCCGGGAGAGAAAGGAGAGAGAGCUGGCGAAUCAGGAGAAGAGAGAAGGAGAUGAUGGCCAACCAGAAAAAGGGAAGGAGGGAAAGGAGAGAGAGAGUGGCGUGGGGGAUCGGCCGGAUCCCCUUGGCCCGUUCUUGACCCGGUUGGCACCCAUACCUAUUUUCAAUGAUUUUCACCCAACUUUCCGGCGAAUUGCUUCAAGAAACCUCAUGGGAAACACUCUAGGACCCUUCGUCUAUCCAUUCCAUCUCAAAUUUGGAGAGUUUUGGCUUUGAAAAUGGAGAAAACCGCAAGAAAAAGGUGCGGCGGCUUUGGCUUCGAAUCAUCCAAUCCCGAAGCAAUUCCUUCCAAUUGUUACCACCCAUAACAUCUUCUUGAGGUCUAGAACAAAGUCCAAGUAGUGGUGGAGGCGUUGGAACAAGUUUGGAGGUCGAAUCGAAGCACACCAAAUUCUAAGGUCCGCACGGAUUUUGGUGAAAUUGAAGUGUUUCCAAGCCAAAUUGGCCUUGGUCACAGGUAUGAAAGUUGUUCUACUCAUUGAGAUUUUCAAAUCUGAAAAUUUUGGUAAUUUUUAGAAAUAGUUGAAUUUUCCGGCGAGCCAGGGCGGCCGACCGCCACCCGUGGCGGCUGGUGCGGCGGCAUGUGGCCUGAGGGCCGCCAAUGCUAUUUUUAGAAUAUAUGUGAUGUCUUGAAUUCAGUUUUGAGAAGUGAAUGACGUAGAUUGAUUGUUAGAGCCAAAAUUCUCUAAGAUACGUUAAUAGGCCAUUGUAUGAAUCGACGAUCCAACUGUCGGAUCGUCACCAAACUUUGAUACGUAGUAGUACGUAAUAUUUAAAGAAUGUAGGAACUUACGGAUUUGGAAUUCGAUGGACGGAUCUUCCCGAAUUGGAUUUGUAAGUUCAUAAAAUAAAAUGUUAACCGCCACUUAGUUUUGGAAAUUGGCGGAGAUCCAACCGUCGGAUCGUAACGAAAUUUUAGUAUGUUGUUCUAGAAGCUUAAUGUGUAUCUUGGGAAGUAACGGAUCAGAAAUCUGAGUUGUGGAUCUUCCAGAUUGAGUUAUUUGGGGUUAUGACCCUACCGUCGAACUUAGUCGACGGUUGACCUUUGAUCAACGGGUCUCGCAUUAUUCUUGAAUGCCCUUGAGGAUAUGUGUUAUGUGAAUUACAUAUUCUAUGGAUAAGAGUUAUGAGAUGUGGUUUGAUAACUGUUUUAGGCACCAAGCGUUCGGGACGCCUUGGUUCUGAUGUUAGGGAGUCGUAGCGCGAAUCCCAGGUGAGUGGGCAGUUAUUUUUAGUAUAUAUAUAUAUAUAUAUAUACACUUGACGUUUUUCCCAGAAAACGUAUUUAAAGGAAAUGCAAUUUAAAUGCCAUGCCAUAAAUGCCAUGCAUAUACAAUUAUGUUUCGUGCAUGAAUUGAUGUGUGAUACCUUAUAUAUAUAUAUAUAUAUAUAAAUGUGGUGUUGUGGUGUUGUGGAGGCACAGGUAAGUUCAGGUAAGUUGUGUUUGGUUAUAUAAAUCAUCGAUGAUGCGAUAUGUGAUUGAGAAGCGAUAGCUCAUAAACUUGCACCCAGGGUGAUUGCGAUUUAGCCAGAGAGAGCAGGCACAUGCCUAUAUAUUAUGUCACCUCCCGCACCAUAUGCUCACAUUGGAUCCCAUUAGGUGCAUAGUCUUGUCGUACAGACCACUGUAAGUGGUUCCGACUUGUAGGUGACUAACGUAUUAUCGCACAGCUAGCAUUGAGAGAGUAGAAUUGAGCAUAAUUAUAUUACACCCAACCUUGUCGCACAUACCCUUUUCAGUGGUUCCGACUUAUGUGCAGUAUAUUGUGUUGGAAGUAUGCCCACAAAGCCACUCAUUUGAUGUAAUAGCUUUUUGGAAUACUUAAUGUAUUAAACUUUUAUAUGUUUAAUGAAGGGCAAAGCUUAUUGUUGAUCACUAUUUAUUGUAUCAUGUGUUUAAGUAAUAAGGGAAUCCAAGGGAUGUAUUUGAUCUAAGAGACAAGUGAUCUAAGUGAGUUAGAUUAUCGAGACCAUUCUCUUAUGUUCAUUCCUAAAACGUUCCUAGCCAUAGGAUUGCCAAUUGGGUAUUGACAAUCCGCUAAGGUUAGUAUGUGUUAUGUCGACUCAAGCUUGAGUAUGACUAGUCUCAAGUCAUUUGGUGUUGGACACUAAGACAAACACAUAGGUGCUCGAAAGAGUAAUCGAGUACACUGAACAACGAUCGAAAGAGAGUUCGAACAUACAUGUCAUGUAAGAACUCGAAAGUUGCAAUAUGCAAAGUAGUCCUUUGACCUGAGGCAUCAUAGAUGUCUAAUGAUUAGGUCCUUGAUCUUUGAUCAUGUCAACGGCAUUCCAUCGGAGUGUCCACGGCAUUGUUGGGGUCAAGCUAUCUAGUCAUGUAGGCAUAUGAAUGCACAACAAGGGAUCUCUAACCUUCCAUGGUGGAAGGAGAAUACUCUAAGAUAUGAUUCGUAAGUCUUUGGCCAAAGCAAAUGAAUAUGACUUAGGAAGUUUGUUCCAAUUCGUAAGUCCCCGGCAACGGCGCCAUUUUCUUGAUAGGGAUUUUUACUACUCAUGUGAAUGCGAUAAAAACCUCCUAUUUUACUUGCAAGAAUCACAAGGUUAUUGUAAUAUAAACGGAUUUCGCAAGGUCAUUCUCCACAGGGAUUAUUAAAUAAUUCAAAACAAACCAGAUUUCAAUUAAUGAUUGUAAUGUAGAAAUUUAGAUGAUUGAUUUUAUAAUCUACUUAAAGUAAAAACGAAUUUAAUGAAUUAAAAUAGAUAAUCUGCAAUAUUAAAGCUAGAGAGAAGAAAACAGUUAUGAAAAAAUCAAAUUGAGAAGGCACUAGGGUUCCACCAUCACCUAGCAAUCCUAUGAAUUUUUACUCAUUACUUAUGAUCUACACAUACCACUUUGAAGGUUAGAUUUUCCUAAUUCAUAUUCUACUUGGAACCUCCAACGUAGAACGUAUAUCUAACAUGCAACCCGUCCGGACGUUCGGAUCAAAUAUGAACAUGAGAGACUCAUUAUGCUUUAUGAAAAUCCUUUGAAAAACCAUGCAAUCCUUAAGACGUGAUAUUCAUCCUAAGAGAAAUUACAAUUAUUAAUCACAAGAAGCCAGCGUCAAUUUCAGGGAACCUUCCGACCAAAAUUGCAUCAAAUUACUUUUCUAAAGAUCCUAAUGGUGAUCAUGCAUUACGACAAUUAGAUAGUUUUUAUCCCGGUGAUUAACAAUUCAAAGUACGCAUGCAAUCGAUCAUAAGCAAUUAAAUAAAAAUCACAUAUUCAUGCUAAGGCUCAAGGCUUCGCCCUAGCAAAAGAAAUUAGUUCCGCAUAUUCAUAAUUGAAAUCAUAGAAAAUAUUCUUAAGAAAAAGAUUGAAAACACCUUCAAGUAGAAAAUCUUCAAAACCCUAGCACUUCUCUCUGUCUCCAAUAUUGCAUAAAAUAAAGCGUAAUCUAAAACUGUAGACGGCCAAGCAAUAUAUAUCUGCUAAGCCACCACACAAACCCUAGCAAACAAAACCCUAAAUUAAAUAAUAAAAUUCGUCUAAAAACUGAACAGCCACGUUUUGGCCCAUAAGCUGCUCCAAAACUGGCUCAAUAUAGCUGGAUUUAAUGUUUGGAAUAUUCUGAACACUUUUCCAGAAGGCCACGAACCCAUCCGAGGUCAUCUUGGGCUCCAAAAACGCAAUUUAAGCCCAAAAACGUCACUUUCCAGCACUGCGCACUGCUUCUUUAUUUCAUCGUCAAAAAAUCACCGCUUGGUGGAAAAAUCCUAAAUUUUGAUACGAUCAAGCUAAGUGACUAACGAACGUCCUCCAACUAGAAUUACUCCAAAAUUCGUCCAUUUGGUCCUGUUUUGCUCCAGAGGAAAUCGAAAGUCCUAUAUUGAAAAUACAAUUCAAAGUAUCAAAAUUCUUCCAAUAUAUUAACCAAAAUAUACUAAGAUUAGGGUAAAAUAUAUAAUAUAAAAUCUACUCAUCAAAUACCCCCAAACUUAGCUUUUUGCUUGUCCUCAAGCAAAACAAGACUCAAACAAAAAAUAAAAACUUAACAAACUAGACAACUAGCUAAAUUUAACUGACAAAAAUUUUCACCUUCAAAGUUGCAAUCCAUAGCAAAUUUUAAAAACUAGAACAUUUUUUCAAAAGUUCCAACCAAUCCCACCACAGAGUCUAAGCCAUUUAGAAUCAAUUAGAAAAGAAUUCACAGACUUCCUUUGGUGUAAAGUGAACCAACAUAGUUAAAGAGACUCGACUAAAAUUCUUACCUCUCGUCCUUAUUUAUUUCACACAUAGUAACUUUAAAUAUAACUCUCUUUCUUUUUCUUUUCUUUUUUUUUUCUUCUUUUUUCAUAUAUAACCUUUUUUUUUUCUUUUUUUUUCAGUAACAGUAGUGGUCGUGCAAUGUCGGUUUACUUAAGCUUUCGAUCCAACCCAUGUAGCGAGCUUUAGGUCAAUGACUCCCAAACCACUAGGGCUUUAGGGCACUGGGUGUAGAACACCCCUAAGGACUUAUUAACCCGAGCUGAAAAGGCUACGAAACCAACUAACCACCCUGCCUCAUGCCAAAACUCUACCGUUUGACGCGAGAAUCACUGCUGAUUAGGCAGGACUGGCCCGGUUACUAGGCAAAACCUCGGGUGAGACAAUUAUUACUUUUUUUUUUCCUAAUAAUUAACUUUACUUAAACAAAAAUUAAAAAUAAACUUAGACUAAAAGCAAGUAUUUCAAUCUCACUCCCCACAAACCAUGUUGGUGUGAUGUGCACAGUUCAAAGUAUAACUCAUGAAUUAGUGUCUAAGCAACGAUAAAUAGAAAAGACUCUAAUGUGGGAUUAAUCUUUACCAUGUCCAUUUGUUCUAACGUUUAAAAUAAUCUAUGGAUAUUAACUUAACAAGAAUGAAAAUUUUUAAACGGACACAAUAAUAAAAAAAAACUAAAAUUUACUUUCCCACCCCCAAACUUAUUUCACAUUUUGUCCUCAAGGUGUGGAAACUAAAAUAAAAAAUGACAAAAAUAAAAUAAACUUAAACGAACAAAAAUAAUUAUAACAAGGAAAAGUAGUAACAAGAACCAAAGAAAAAGAAAAAGACUACCUGGCUUUGGAAGUGACGUUGUGGUUGAUAUAAGUGUGGCCAAAUAAAAGCCACACAAAGCCCAUGCAAUGAAAAUCUCCAACUUGCACGCCACCUUCACUUGCACGCCUGCUGUACACCAUAUUUGAAAUCAGCAGGCCAUCACGUGGCGUCCAUCAGGGCCUGACAAACAUGUGGGGGUUAAAUUCGGAUUCCCCAGGAAAGCUACUGGCAGCUGAGAAUCUGCACCCAAAUAAGCAUAUUUCAAAUGUUCUGGAAGAACCUUUAACUCUAGUUUAGGUGGCUGUACCUUAGAGGGCUGCAAUAACUUCUUGGGUUCCCCCAAACUCUCAAAAACGUGCCUCCAACGUGGGGGUUGAAAAUGAACACUUUCCAAAGCUGAAACAUACUCAAAAACCUCAUCAUCUUCUGUAUUUUUGUUCUCAAACCCAUGCAACACAUUUAACAACGGAUCAGAUGUCAAACGUGGCAUAAUUUCAACCUGUAAUAAGCUGUCAAGCACAUCAACACGCAUACAAUCAUGCACAUCACCCGGUCUUUUGGUAGCUUCAAAUAAACUGAACACAACAGAUCGAUCUUGCACUCUAAGUGUAAGUGUCCCAGCCUCUACAUCAAUUAACGUUCUGGCUGUAGCCAUGAAGGGACGUCCCAAAAUAAUCGGUGUUUGCAUAUCUUCAUCCAUAUCCAAAAUCACAAAAUCUGCAGGAAGAUAGAGAUUAUCCACUUUAAUUAUUAGGUCUUCUAUAAUACCCCUUGGAUAAGCAACUGAUCGGUCCGCUAGUUGUAGAAUAACUGAUGUUGGCAUUAUUUCUCCUUGUCCUAGUCUCUGAAAAACAGAAAAAGGCAUUAAAUUAAUACUAGCACCUAAGUCAAUUAAAGCACGUUUAAAAUGAGAAUUUCCAAUUGUGCAUGAAAUUGUAAAACUCCCUGGAUCUUGUUUCUUUGGGGGCAAUUUGUGAAGCAGAACAGCGCUGCACUGUUCUGUAAGAAUUACUUUCUCAAAAUCAACAAGCUUCUUUUUCUUUGUGCAAACAUCUUUCAAAAACUUGGCAUAAGACGGAAUGUUCUUGAUGGCAUCAAUUAACGGCAGAUUAAUCUGAACCUUAGACAAAGUCUUCAUAAAAUCUGUCACUUGUUGAUCUUUAACUUUAGGCUUCAACCGUUCGGGAUACGGCAUAGGUGGCUCAUAAACACGAUCCUCAACAAUAUCUUCUGCGAUAUUUUCAGAACUGUUAACCGGCUGAUCUGAAUCUUUUGAAUUGGCAUAUUUUUCAAUUUUCCCCGAAUCUGUUUUUGGCUGUGAAUCCACCCGCGAAUUUUGAAUGCAAUUUUCAUCCCUGUUAUCAUAACUUUUUCCGGAACGUAAAACUCUAACUGCCUUGCAAUCUACACCUCCCCUAGGAUUUGGUUCGGUUUGGCUGGGAAAUGUACCUGGUGCCCUACCAGAAACCUGCAAAGCAAUCUGCCCUAUUUGUUUUUCCAUGUUUUUCAUUGAUGCCUGCAGAUUUUGAAUUUCUUGAGUUGUAGUGUUUGCCAAUUUUUCAAUCGCAACCUCCCAAGCAGCCUUAGGUGCAGCAGGUUGUUGUACCUGCUGUUGAAAUUGUGGUCUAGUGUGCUGUUCCUUAUCCCACCUUAGAUUAGGAUGAUCUCUCCAACCCGGGUUGUAGAAAUUAGAAUAUGGGUCAUAUCUGGGCCGCUGGAAAUUGUUAAAUGCAUUAACCUGCUCAGCUGUAAACUCUGGUGAAACAUCUUUAUGUGGGCAGUUCAUAAAAUCGUGAGUUAUCAUGUUGCAAAUGCUGCAGGCAGCUUGUAAAGGCUGCUGUACAGCCACCUGUGAACCUGGCAUUCUCUGUAAUAACAUGUCAAAUUUUGCGUCUAGCCUUUUCUCCAUUUUUUCAAUUUGUGCUGUAACAUAUGGAGAACCAUUUGGCAUCUCAAAAACAGACCUAGAUUGUGGCUGCUCAACUGCCCAUUGUUGAGUAUCUUCUGCCAUUUUUUCAAAUAACAAACAAGCCUCUUGUGCAUUUUUGUCCUUGUACGUACCUCCGCAUGAAGCGUUGACAAGAGUUUUUGUUGUCAUAUUCAACCCUCUGAAAAAUAUGUGCAUUUGAUCAGUAGUGUUAAUACCCGAAUGUGGACAUUUUCUAAUCAACUCUUUGAACCGAUCCCACGCCUCAUGAAACUCUUCAUUUGGUUUUUGGGAGAACGAUAAAAUCUGAGUUCUCAUGUCAAGGGUCUUAAAAGCCGGAUAAUACUUGUUUAAAAAUUUUUCACUGAGUUGGGCCCAAGUUGUAAUGCUUCCAGAUGGGAGUGUGAGGAGCCAUCUCCUUGCUUGAUCUUUUAGAGUGUAUGGAAACAACCGCAGCUUAAUAGAUUCGGCUGAAAAUCCCCUCACCAAAAUGUUUUUGCACCCCAUUAAAAAUUCUGCAAUGUGCAUGUUAGGAUCAUCAGAUGACAACCCAUGAAACGUAGGUAGAAUAUUCAACAUGUGCUGUUUUAUUUCAAAUGCAGUCCCUUCCUCCACUGCCGGAUAUGUGAUGCAACUGGGUAUAUUUGUGGUAUGGGCAGUCAGUGAAUCACCCAGGGGCAGACCUGCCUCUGGAAUUAUAAACGCCAUUUUUUCUUUGUUGUGCAGGUCAAAGUCUGAUUGCAGAAAAGUCUCAUGCAGAGGACGAACCCGUUGCAAAUUUUCCUCCCUGCGUUUCCUCCUUAAAUGCUGCUCAAAUUCUGGAUCAAAUGGAAUCAAUUUCUGCACUGUUGAACGGGUGCUGACCAUGCACAGAUUUCUGAAAUCUGUACUGUUGUAAUCUGUAAAAAUAAAUGAAAACGAAAAUUAAAUAUUUUUUUAUUUUUUAUAUAUGUAUAAACAGCAAUAACUAAUUGAAAAUCUGAUUCGUAGGGAUUAUUUUAAAUAAUCCCCGGCAACGGCGCCAUUUUCUUGAUAGGGAUUUUUACUACUCAUGUGAAUGCGAUAAAAACCUCCUAUUUUACUUGCAAGAAUCACAAGGUUAUUGUAAUAUAAACGGAUUUCGCAAGGUCAUUCUCCACAGGGAUUAUUAAAUAAUUCAAAACAAACCAGAUUUCAAUUAAUGAUUGUAAUGUAGAAAUUUAGAUGAUUGAUUUUAUAAUCUACUUAAAGUAAAAACGAAUUUAAUGAAUUAAAAUAGAUAAUCUGCAAUAUUAAAGCUAGAGAGAAGAAAACAGUUAUGAAAAAAUCAAAUUGAGAAGGCACUAGGGUUCCACCAUCACCUAGCAAUCCUAUGAAUUUUUACUCAUUACUUAUGAUCUACACAUACCACUUUGAAGGUUAGAUUUUCCUAAUUCAUAUUCUACUUGGAACCUCCAACGUAGAACGUAUAUCUAACAUGCAACCCGUCCGGACGUUCGGAUCAAAUAUGAACAUGAGAGACUCAUUAUGCUUUAUGAAAAUCCUUUGAAAAACCAUGCAAUCCUUAAGACGUGAUAUUCAUCCUAAGAGAAAUUACAAUUAUUAAUCACAAGAAGCCAGCGUCAAUUUCAGGGAACCUUCCGACCAAAAUUGCAUCAAAUUACUUUUCUAAAGAUCCUAAUGGUGAUCAUGCAUUACGACAAUUAGAUAGUUUUUAUCCCGGUGAUUAACAAUUCAAAGUACGCAUGCAAUCGAUCAUAAGCAAUUAAAUAAAAAUCACAUAUUCAUGCUAAGGCUCAAGGCUUCGCCCUAGCAAAAGAAAUUAGUUCCGCAUAUUCAUAAUUGAAAUCAUAGAAAAUAUUCUUAAGAAAAAGAUUGAAAACACCUUCAAGUAGAAAAUCUUCAAAACCCUAGCACUUCUCUCUGUCUCCAAUAUUGCAUAAAAUAAAGCGUAAUCUAAAACUGUAGACGGCCAAGCAAUAUAUCUGCUAAGCCACCACACAAACCCUAGCAAACAAAACCCUAAAUGAAAUAAUAAAAUUCGUCUAAAAACUGAACAGCCACGUUUUGGCCCAUAAGCUGCUCCAAAACUGGCCCAAUAUAGCUGGAUUUAAUGUUUGGAAUAUUCUGAACACUUUUCCAGAAGGCCACGAACCCAUCCGAGGUCAUCUUGGGCUCCAAAAACGCAAUUUAAGCCCAAAAACGUCACUUUCCAGCACUGCGCACUGCUUCUUUAUUUCAUCGUCAAAAAAAUCACCGCUUGGUGGAAAAAUCCCAAAUUUGAUACGAUCAAGCUAAGUGAAUAACGAACGUCCUCCAACUGGAAUUACUCCAAAAUUCGUCCAUUUGGUCCUGUUUUGCUCCAGAGGAAGUCGAAAGUCCUAUAUUGAAAAUACAAUUCAAAGUAUCAAAAUUCUUCCAAUAUAUUAACCAAAAUAUACUAAGAUUAGGGUAAAAUAUAUAAUAUAAAAUCUACUCAUCAAACGGCAUUCCAUCGGAGUGUCCACGGCAUUGUUGGGGUCAAGCUAUCUAGUCAUGUAGGCAUAUGAAUGCACAACAAGGGAUCUCUAACCUUCCAUGGUGGAAGGAGAAUACUCUAAGAUAUGAUUCGUAAGUCUUUGGCCAAAGCAAAUGAAUAUGACUUAGGAAGUUUGUUCCAAUUCAUAUUCAAAGGAAUCAUAUAGAAAAGUAUCACAUUGGAUAGUAGACAUGAAACAAACUAUCACUUAAACAAUGUGAUUAAGAGUAUUGUAUUAGAGAAGGACCGUAUUGCAUUGUAGUUGUAACUGGAUAGGUUCUCCAACCAAUUCUACUUAGCUUGGGUAACCAUGACAUACUGCUAGGUGUCACUCAUGGUUUGUGGAAGCCCUACUGACUAGCAAACACUAAUCAUAAAGGGAGAAUUGAAAUGUGGUUUCAAUUCACAAUCGAUCGUUAAGAGUAACAAUCGCCCACUACCUCACUAAUUAGAACCUAAUGGAUCGUACACCGAGUAAGGGCGAUAGUGAAGAAAUUAAAUGAAAUGGAUAUGCAAUUAAAUGGUUUAAUUGAAGAAUGGUUAAGAUUAAUUAAUUAGUUAAUUAAUUAUACGAAAGGUUCGUAUUGGGCUUUUAAGUUGGUUUUGGGUUUCGGGGCCCAAAAGUGUUUUGGUCCAUAAGGCCCAUUAUGUUUAAGUUGUAUGACAACUAAAACAAAAUGGGCAAUAAGCCCAAUCACAACAUAUAGGCCGGCCAUGGUGAGGAGAUGGUGAAAGUUUGCUUAAUUGCAAGUUUGCCACUCACCAAAGAAAAGUGUUAUAAAAGCAACUUUAUAGCUAUUUUCUCAUUAAGGGUUUUCUUUGAGGCAAAGAGGUGAAACAUUUUCUCUCUUUCUCUCUACAAAGAGGCCGGCCACUUAGGGAGAUUAAUCUAGCAAUCUCUUAUUCCCUAAGUCAUCCAUUUCAUCUUCACAUUUAACCCUUGGUGUGGAGACUUAGAGACAUCAAACUUUUGGUGUUUUGGAGAACAAAUCCUCAAAUCCUCAAAGAAGCAAAGGAGCACUAAAAGGAGGAAAAUCACAAGGAAUAUCCAAGGAGCUUGGAGGUGACUUGAAGGCCCUCCACUUGGGUGAAUCCCUUGUGUAAACAAGGAUGAGCUUCAAGGGUAAAGAAAUUCUAAAUCUUUACUUCUCUUUAAUGUUGUUAAAGAGUUUAUUGGUUCACCAUAUACUAGGCUUUGAAAGUCAUGGGUUUUAUGAAUUGUUUUUGAAUGCAUGCCUACUUUAAAGUGUUAAUAGUUUGCAUAUGUAUUCAAAUGUUCUUACUUGUUCUUAGCUAGGACAAAUUUUUUCCUUCAAGUGGUAUCAGAGCCUAGGCCUAGUUUAUGGUGAAUCCUUUUGGGUUUUGUGAUUUUCAUGAUUUAUGAUUUAAAUGUUGUAAAUGUUACAAGCUUUGUUCUUGCUUUUGAAUAUAUAAAUUUUGCUAGAAAAUUUAGCAUCUCAAAUGUUGUAGAUGUACUUCAUUUAAGCAUGAAUAUUGGAACUAAAAUUUGGUGCCAUGAAUAUUGGGAAAUUCGGCCAAAUCCUUAGGGUGAUUUUUUGGGUUCAUGUUUGUCUUGUUAAAAUGGUUGUAAGGUGACUUUUGGAACCCCUAAGUACCCUAGGAUAUUAGCCCUCUUUUGAGUGGUGAAAAAUUGAGUUUUGGUGAGUGAAAACAUUCAUGGAGCUAUUAUGAGUUUUCAUGGUGUUCUUCAAUGUUCUUGAAGUUCUUGCCAAGAACAAAAAAGGUUUGAAGUUGUGAUUCAAAAGUUUUAUGUUUUUUCAUAAAGUUUUGGUUUAAUUUUGAUGGGUGAUAAUUAUUGGUGAAACAUUAAUUUUGGCUUUAAUGUUUGUCAAAACUCUUUAAUGUUUUACAAAACAUUUUCUUACAAACCAUCAAUUUCACCUUUUCCUCACCCACCAAAAUCAACUUGCAUAAAAUCCCUUUCGCACUCUUUCACACUCCAAAAACCGGCCACCCCCUAGUGGGGGUACUUUUGGGGCCUUUUAUGCAAUUACAUAAAGUUUUGAUACUUUUAUGUAUUUGCACUUUGGCCCAAAAAUUUACGUUUUUACAUUAAGGCCUAAAAACUCUAAAGGACGAAUUGUUUUGAUCCUUUAAUGAUGUUUUUACAUUAUUUAAAUUUUGGGAUCUAGUUGUAAUUACAUGAAGUUGUGGACUAUUAUGUUUUUACAAAGUGACCCCAAAAGUUUUUGUAUUUGCAUUAUGGCCCAAUUGUUGUGGUCAUAGUUUCCUUUUGGCCCAAAUAAAAUGAGAACAAAAUUGUUUUGUCUCUUUAAUGAGAAUUGGAUUUUCAUUUCAUUUAGUUCCAUUUAAAUCAAAUCUAUGGAUCCAAAAACCAAUUGUUUAAGUUGCUUUCUUAGUUAAUGUGAUUAAUUAAGAAAAGGGUGAUUAUGAACCAAAGGCCUCGAUAAUUGAGCUAUGUGAUUGGCCGUUUUACAUUAUGAAUGUUUGGGUUUGGUAGUGUAGAUUUGAAUGUAAUUUGAUUAAUUCAAUUUGUUGUAAAUGGACAUAAGUCCAUCAUUUGUGUUGUAAAAGGGCAUAAGCCCUUCUUAUUAUUUCAUGUAUUCCUUUUGUUUAUAUGUAUGCAAAAUGGAAUAGUUGGGUCCAACGCCCAAUAGGAAAUAACGGUUUAAUUGGAUUAAACGCGUAACUAAAAUCAACAACUAUCUACCUUCAACCCAAGGUCCAACACAAGGCUCGUGUUGGAUCAAAUUAAUCGGUUCAUAAUCAUCCUAAAACCUAAUAUGACCAUAUAGUCCAUAUGAGGAUGGAAUGCGUUCGUUAGUAGUUCCAUAUAGUCUCACUUAUUUCUUCGAAAUAGUGGGAGUAUUAUAAACUACUAAAUUCAUAUUAACUUGGACCAAUGGUUAUGAUAGGCCCAAGUUCUUUUAAUAAGAUUAAAAUGGUUUUGAUGUAGCCCAAAACUACUCCCUCGACAAACGAAUAUUAAGUUGAUAAGCGAGAGAUGUUUUGAACAUCUCUUUGUAGGCCUUCCACUGUGGUGGGCUCCAAUCGUUUGUGACUCAUGCACCGGCUUCACCCUAUCAUGGGGGAGUUCAAAGUAUGUGCUUACAUCCAGGAGGAGUCCAUAAACAUAUGAUGAGGUGAGUGUAGGCAACGAGGAUAGCCGACAUCGUAUCAUCGUGAGGCUAUUCUUGAACCCCUUCACAAACUAAGCAUGGUGGGAAUAACUUAAUCUAAGUGCAAUGGAGCCGACAUCGUAUCAUCGUGAGGCAACAUUCUCUAGAGGCCAAACGGAUGGGUAAUUACAAAAGGUUGCAAAUGAAUAAUGCGUUAUUCUCUCAUCAUUAUUUUUGCUAACCAACAUCGUAUCAUCGUGAGGUGGGCUUGGUAAUGGUGAGUCUCCCAUACCCCGCUAAGAGUUCAAUAUAACUCUCGAAUUCUAUUGAGGGAUGUGGAAUUUGCCAAAAAUAGUGGGUGGUACUAUUUGAUUCAAAGACCCAAUCAAAUAGUUUUAAAACAAACAAUCUAAUACGAUUUAUGUUAUGUUAUGUAGUUAAUGACAUGCCUAAAAAUAUACCCACCAUUAUACUUGACAAAAAGGGCCUUAAAGGCCAACGUUUCCUUGCUUGGUAUCGCCACAUUGAGAAUGUCUCAAAGGUGAAAGACAUAUUGUAUGUGCUUAAGCAAUCCCCUCCUCAUGUACCUCCUACGAUGUUGGAAAUGUGCCCUAAAUCCAAUCAUAUGAUGAUACUUUACGGACAUUUCACAUGUUAAACUAAUCUAGUUUAACUAUAAAAGGCAAAGAUUAUUGUUUGAGCCGUCUCAUAUAAAUGUUAUAUGCUUAAACGAUAAAGUCCAAGGAAUAUGUGAUUGGGAGAAUGUAAUCUAAUGAAGUUAGAUUCAUGAGACCAUUCUUUCGUAGACACAUCCUAAAUGUUCCUGAUCAUAGGAUUGCCAAUUGGGCAUUGACAGUCCGUCAAGAUCGGUACGUGCUAUGUCUUCUCUCAGGGAGAGUGACUAGUCUCGAGUCAUUGGUGUGUGUGACAUCAAGACAAGUACGUAAGUGCUCAGUAGAGUAUGAGUUCACUGAACGCGAUCAACGAAGAGUUCUCAUACUCAUGUCACAUGAGAACUCAUGGUUGGGAUAAUGCAAAGUAGUCCUUUGACCUGAGGCAUCACAGUUGUCUUGUGGUUAAGUCCUUGAUCUUUGAUUAUGUCAAACGUCAUUCCAUUGGAGUGUCCACGGCAUCGUUGGGGUUAAGCCACUUAGUCAUGAAGGCAAGUGAAUGCGCAACAAGGGAUCUCUAACCUUCAAACUGUUUGAGGGAGAAUACUCUAUGAUAUGAUUACGAAUCUUUGGCCAAAGUAUGAAUGAGAUUUAGGAAAACGUUCCAAAUCACAUUCAAGGUAAUCAUAUAAGCACACGAAUCACAUUGGAUAGUAGACAUGAAUAAAUAAACUAUCAAACCAAACAAUGUGGUCAAGAGUAUUGUAUUAGAGAAAGACCGUAUUGCAUUUGUGAUCCCAAACUGAAUAGGUUUUCUCUACCUCUUCUGAUUAGCUUGGGUAACCAUGAUAUGCUGCAAGGUGUCACUCAUGGUUUGUGGAAGCCCUAAAUGUGUGUAAUCACUAAAGGGAGAAUUGAAAGUAAGUUUCAAUUCAUAAUCGAUGUAAAAUGGUUUUAAUCGCCCACUGCCUCGCUAAAAGGAACCUAAUGGAUCGCACACCGUGUAAGGAGGAGAUUGAAGAAACAAUGGAGAUGAGUAUGAAUGAUUAAAUGGUUUAAUCAUUUAUUUAUGGCAAGGAUUAAUUAAUAUGUUAAUUAAUCAAACGAAUAAGUUCGUUAAAGACCUCGGGAUAGUUUUGGACCUUAAGGCCCAAUGGGCUUCGAACGUCAAGCCCAUUAACUUAAGUUGUAUGACAACUUAAUGAAUAAUGAUUCACAAAGGCCCAAACAACCCAAAAAUACCCCAAGGCCGGCCAUGAUGUUUAGGGUAGUGAACUUGGACUUAUUUACAAGUUUGCCACUCAAAUGAAUAAAGGUAUAAAUAUGACUUUAUAGCCAAAAUUCAUUAGGGUUUGUUUUGGAGAAAAUUGGUGAGAACUUGUCUCUCCAUUUCUCUCUAAAGAGGCCGGCCACCUUGGGGGUGCAUCUUGCAAUCCCACUACUCCAAGGUCACUCAUUUCUUCUCCAAUCUCUCCUUGGUGAAGAGACUUAGAGGUUCUCAAUUUUGGGAACUUGGAGAAACCUAUUCUUCCAUCCAAAUCCAUAGAUUUAAGAUGCAAGGAAUGAAGGCCCUCUCUUUGGGUGAUUAGCCUUUGCUUAUGCAAAGAGGAAUCUACAAAGGUAUAAAUUUCAACUCACUAUGUUUUGAGUUGAGUUUUGGUUCACCAAUCUACUAGGCUUUGAAUUUCAUGGUUAAUGUUUUGUUUUUAAGUGCAUGCAACCAUGAUUCCGCCUUUAAUUGUUAAUUGCAUGCUUAUUGAUGUUGCUUAAAUGAACAUGUUUUCACAAAAUAAUCCUUCAUACGAAACUAGCUUCAAAGGAGGAGUGUCAAAAAUAUGUUAGACACUAUGAGGAUGACCUACAAGCCAAAUGCUUAAUCCUCACUUCACUUAGUGAGGAGCUUAUGAAGCUACAUAAGCACAUGGAUACUUCUUGUGCCAUGGUUGAAAGUUUGCAUAAGAUGCAUGACAAUGAGACUAGUAAUGUACGAUUCUCAAAUGUUUGUAGUCUAAUGAAUGCCAAAAUGGCAAAGGGGACAUCGGUCCAUAAACAUGGACAAAAGAUGGAAAAGAUAUUUAAAGAUCUUAAAAGUUUAGGAACUUCCAUCGAUGGGAAAAUGGCCCAAGACUUUUUCCUUGCAUCUUUCUCGGAUGAUUUCACUAAGUUUAUUGUAAACUAUAAAGUGAAUAGAUUCGAUCAUGCUUUAAACGAGAUGAUUGACAUGUGCUGUAAAUUUGAAAAAGGUUUCAAAAGGGACAGUGGGAGUGAGAAUGCAAUCACAAGGAAAAGGUUGCAUAAGAAGAAGGCAAAGAAAUCCAAAGGAACAUGCUUUCAUUGUGGAAAGGAUGAACGUUGGAAGAAGAAAUACAGGGUGCGCAUUGCGAGCCUUAUGACACGAACUUUUGAAGAGACUAUUUCUGUCAUAGAGAGUGCUUUUACAGUGAGCUCCAAUUCCUGGAUAUUUGAUUCAGGCGCUAGUCAACAUAUCUGUAAUACGAUGCAGGGACUAGUGGGGAGCAAGUCACUGCGCAAUGGGGAGAUGGUUGUGCGAGUUGGGAACCGCACUAAAAUCUCUGCAAAAGCAAUAGGCACCUACAUUCUUAACCUACCCUCUGGGGAAGUCCUGGAACUUAAAAAUUGUUUAUAUUUACCUUCAUGUAUAAAGAAUUUGAUUUCCAUCUCUAAGCUUUUACGAGAUGGGCACUCAGUAUUGUUUGACAAAAUGAGUUGCACUUUAUACUUGAACGGUCGUAUUAUCUCUCAUGGUAAUAUGAUAGAGGGACUUUUUCACCUAAAGACGAAUAGUGGGAUGCACUGUAUUGCAGGCGGGAAUACCUCAAAACCCAAAAGGGCUAGAGAAGAAGUUAACCAAGAAAAUAUGUGGCAUCUUAAACUUGGACAUGUGAACCUUGAUAAGAUUCACAAGAUGUCGAAAGACGGAUAUAUCCGCCCAUUAGGUAAUGACCAAAUGGGUACUUGUGAAUGUUGCUUGAAAGGGAAGAUGACUAAAUCUCCAUUUACUGGAAAGAGAGAGUGUGCCAUUGAAAUUCUAGGGUUAAUCCACACUGACGUAUGUGGACCUAUGUCUACUACGUCGAGAGGAGGCUUCUCCUACUAUAUCAUAUUCACCGACGAUCACUCUCGGUUUGGCUAUGUGUAUCUUAUGAAGUACAAGUCAGAAUCCUUUGAAAGGUUCAAGGAAUUCAAGAAUGAAGUUGAGAAGCAAACUGGGAAACAGAUAAAGAUCCUAAGAUCGGAUCGAGGGGGUGAAUAUCUGAGUAAUGAGUUCCUAGAUUAUCUCAAAGAGUGUGGAAUAAUAUCAUAGUGGACUCCACCGGGAACUCCACAACUUAAUGGAGUUUCUGAAAGGAGAAAUCGAACCUUGAUGAACAUGGUUCGUUCUAUGAUGAGUUCCGUUGAUCUACCAGUAACAUUCUGGGGAUACGCUCUAUAUACAACAGCUUACUUGCUUAAUAGAGUACCUUCCAAGUCAGUUUCACAAACGCCCUAUGAGAUAUGGCAUGGAAGAAAGCCAAGUUUUAAUCAUGUUAAGAUUUGGGGUUGUGAAGCAUAUGUCAAGAAGCUUGAAGCUACUAAGCUUGAAGCGAGAUCAGUAAGGUGCUAUUUUGUGGGAUAUCCUAGAGAAACUAUGGGAUAUGAGUUCUACCAUCCAGACGACCAGAAAGUCUUUGUCGCCAGAAUGCUAAGUUUCUAGAGGACAAAUUUGUUCUCAAAAGAACUAUAAGCAAAGAGAUGGAAAUUAAUGAGAUUAAUAAUGAACCACAAACAAGCACUCGACAAGUUGACAACCCUGUUCCUGAACCCCUAGCUCCACGUAAAUCUGAACGGGUUAGUAAGCCACCUAAGAGGUAUGGCUUAGACAAUGACUUUGCGGAAUUGCACCUUCUAGGUGACAAUGACACAAAGGAGGACCCUAGGGACUACACUGAAGCAAUGUCCGACAUUGAUUCAAAGAGAUGGCAAGAGGCCAUGAAAUCCGAGAUGGAUUCCAUGUAUCAAAAUUAGGUCUGGACUCUUGUAGACCCUCCAGAAGGUAUUGUACCUGUUGGAAACAAAUGGGUCUUCAAGAGGAAGAUAGGCGUUGAUGGGAACGUGGAGACUUAUAAGGCUAGACUCGUAGCCAAGGGUUACAGGCAAAGAGAAGGGAUUGACUAUGAAGAAACUUUCUCUCCUGUAGCCAUGAUUAAGUCCAUUCGGAUUUUGCUUGCUAUAGCUGCGUACCAUGAUUAUGAGAUAUGGCAAAUGGACGUGAAGACGGCCUUUCUGAACGGCUACCUAGAGAAAGAGCUCUAUAUGACUCAACCAGAAGGUUUCAUGUCCAAGUCUGAAAAGACUAAGGUAUGCAAGCUUCAAAGGUCCAUUUAUGGACUUAAGCAAGCCUCCAGGAGCUGGAACAUUCGUUUCGACACUGAAAUCAAAACGUUUGGUUUUACUCAAAACGAAGACGACAAUUGUGUUUAUCAAAAGGUCGUUGGGGAAGCAGUAGUAUUCCUAGUGUUAUAUGUAGAUGACAUAUUACUAUUCGGGAAUGACACUGCAAUACUUUCUUCUGUAAAAGUGUGGUUGUCCAAAACCUUCCACAUGAAAGAUUUAGGAGAUGCAUUUUAUGUACUUGGGAUAAAGCUCUAUCGUGAUAGAUCCAGAAAAUUAAUUGGAUUAUCCCAAUCUAUGUACAUUGAUAAGGUGCUAAGUAGGUUCCAGAUGGAACAAUCUAAGAAAGGUUUUCUUCCUGUUAGACAUGGAAUUCACUUUUCUAAGUCCAUGGAACCUAAGACUCCUGAAGAGAUACGGCAAAUGAAUAUGAUUCCUUAUGCUUCCGCUAUAGGGAGUUUCAUGUAUGCCAUGAUAUGCACAAGGCCUGAUAUUGCAUAUGCUGUGAGCAUUACUAGUCGAUAUCAAUCUAACCCAGGACCAGAACACUGGGCAGCUGUCAAGACGGUCCUUAAGUACUUAAGAAGAACUAAGGACAUGUUCCUCGUAUAUGGAGGAGCAGCAGAGUUGCGAGUGGAAGCCUAUACAGACGCAGAUUUCCAAUCUGACGUCGAUGAUAGAAGUUCCAACUCCGGAUAUGUAUUCACUCUGAAUGGUAGGGCUGUCAGUUGGAAGAGCAAGAAACAGAGUGUAAUUGCUGAUUCCACAACAGAGGCUGAAUAUGUCGCUGUAGCUGAAUGAAGGGAAAUUUAUGAGUUUCAUGUGGGAUUUCUAGAUGACUAGCAUGCAUAUACAAUUCAACAAUAUAUAUACAUGAGCAACGGAAGCAUGUUAUCAAAUAAAAUCAAAGCUAUAGUCAUGCAAAUCCCCUUCAAGGUUCAUAGGUUUAUAUAUAAUGCAUCAAAACAUUUUAAAGAAUCAAGAACAAAGUCAAGGAAUAGAUCUAUACCUCUUGAUCUUGAUUUUAGACCAAGGAUGGACCACCUCCAAUCUCUUUGCUCCUUGAAAUCCUUGAGCCUAGCUUCCCUCCUUGCCUCCUCCACUUUGAAAGAAUGAGUGCUCCUAGGUUCUCUUCAAGUUUCCAAAGUAGGAAACCUCUAAAGAUCCUCACCCACUAGUGUAAUGAGAAGGAUGAAGGAAUAACCAAAAGGGUGAAAGAUUGUUAGCUCUUUUUCCCUUAAGGUGGCCGGCCCUUGUGAGUAUUUGAGAGAGUUUUCUUUAGCCUCUUUUUAGUUCUAAACACACAAAAAAAAACCCUUAAGAAACAUUUGCUAUAAAGUUCCUUUUAUAGACAAAAGAAACCUAGUCAACAACUUGACUAUUCUUCUCUCCUAAACACCUAAUAUGGCCGGCCCUCUUUGUGUUGUUUGGGCUUUGGGCUUUCAUUUAUUUCAAGUCAUCCAAUGCUUGAAUAAAAGCCCAAUGGGUUUGGGCCCAAUGGGUUUGGGCCCAAUGGACCCAAUUAAACCCGAACGUUUCUUUAAGCCCAAAACGAUCUUUAUCGCUUUUAUGAUUUCUUUAGACUUUUCUAAAUUAAUCACAACACAUAAUUAAUCCAAUUAAUUGUUUCCAUCAUCCAUUAAUUACUCACUACAAUAGUGUAUUGGUGAACAAUCUUUUAGGUUCUAAUUAGCAAGGCAGUGAGGUGAUUGGCACUAAUCCAAUUAAUUCAAUCACUUAGUGAAUUGAAACUUCAUUUCAAUUCACCAUUCUUCUUUGAUGACUACAUUUAAUCAUCUAGAAGAACUCACAAGCUAUGAUUGACAUCUAACCAUAUGUCAUAGCUACCCAAGCUAAUGUAGAAGUUUUAUUCAGAGAACCUAUUCAGUUAGAAUUACAAUGUAAUUCGAUCCUUCUCUAAUACAAUACUCUCAAUCACAUCAUUAGGGUAUGGAUGUAUUAUGUCAAACCCCUAAUGUGAUUAUUCCUUCUUAUAUGAUUCAUUUGAGUCGUAUAGGAACGCAUUCCUUUUAAUACGCUCGAUACUUCGGCCGAAGAUUCCCGAAUCAUAUCUUAGAGCAUUCUUCCUAUCUUAUUGAGGAUUAGAGAUUCCUUGUUGCGCAUACACUUGCCUUCAUGACUAAGUGGCUUAACCCCAAUCAUGCCGUGGACACCCUCGAAUGGGGAGACUUUGACAUAAUCAAAGAUUAAAUACUUAGCCACAAGACAACGACGAUGCCUCAGGUCUAAGGACUACUUACAUUAUUCCAACCAUUAGAGUUACUUGCUUGACAUAUGAGUAGACCUCCAUGCAAGUACUCUCGUUCGAUUGUGUUCAGUGAACUCAUUCCCCUAAUGAGCACCUACAUACUUGUCUUAGUGUCACAACACGAAUGGGAUGAGACUUUCCAUCCUUCCAUUUGAAGCAGACACAGUAUGUACCAGUCUACGCAUUGUCAGUAUCCCUCCGACAAUCCAAUGACUAGGAACCUUUUGGACAUUUGGUUAUGUGAAGAAGGUCUCUGUAAUCUAACAUCAUUAGAUUACUUCUUCAAUCAAUCUAUUGUCCAUGGAUACACUAUUUAGGACAUAUAUCGUUCAUUGAGAUAGUCUUAAUUCGUGUUUUUGCCUUUGAUGUAUAAGAUUCAUCCAUACAUCCAUUCAUUUGUCCUGAAAGAUUUCUUCUAAAGAUUGACUUUCAGGGCAUAUUUCCAACACUGAAGCCGGCAAAGAAGCGUUCUGGAUGAAGAAGUUCAUCACUGAACUUGGAGUGGUUCCAACCAUUACAUCACCAGUAACUUUGUACUGUGAUAAUAGUGGGGCGAUAGCUCAAGCCAAGGAACCCAGGGCUCAUCAAAAGAACAAGCAUUUUGACAGGCGCUUUAAUAUCAUUAGAAGAUAUGCUGCCGAGGGGAAAGUUAACAUCCUCAAAGUUGCCUCAGCCGAUAACGUAGCAGAUCCACUGAUGAAGCGAAUGUCUCAAAUCCAACUUGACCGCCAUAUGGAAAAGAUGGGUAUUAGAUACAUGUGAGGAUGACUUUGAGUGGAAGUGGGAGAUUGUUGGAAUUAUGCCCACAAAGCCACUCAUUUGAUGUAAUAGCUUUUUGGAAUACUUAAUGUAUUAAACUUUUAUAUGUUUAAUGAAGGACAAAGCUUAUUGAUGAUCACUAUUUAUUGUAUCAUGUGUUUAAGUAAUAAGGGAAUCCAAGGGACGUAUUUGAUCUAAGAGACAAGUGAUCUAAGUGAGUUAGAUUAUCGAGACCAUUCUCUUAUGUUCAUUCCUAAAACGUUCCUAGCCAUAGGAUUGCCAAUUGGGUAUUGACAAUCCGCUAAGGUUAGUAUGUGUUAUGUCGACUCAAGCUUGAGUAUGACUAGUCUCAAGUCAUUUGGUGUUGGACACUAAGACAAACACAUAGGUGCUCGAAAGAGUAAUCGAGUACACUGAACAACGAUCGGAAGAGAGUUCGAACAUACAUGUUAUGUAAGAACUCGAAAGUUGCAAUAUGCAAAGUAGUCCUUUGACCUGAGGCAUCAUAGAUGUCUAAUGGUUAGGUCCUUGAUCUUUGAUCAUGUCAACGGCAUUCCAUCGGAGUGUCCACAACAUUGUUGGGGUCAAGCUAUCUAGUCAUGUAGGCAUAUGAAUGCACAACAAGGGAUCUCUAACCUUCCAUGGUGGAAGGAGAAUACUCUAAGAUAUGAUUCGUGAGUCUUUGGCCAAAGCAAAUGAAUAUAACUUUGGAAGUUUGUUCCAAUUCAUAUUCAAAGGAAUCAUAUAGAAAAGUAUCACAUUGGAUAGUAGACAUGAAACAAACUAUCACUUAAACAAUGUGAUUAAGAGUAUUGUAUUAGAGAAGGACCGUAUUGCAUUGUAGUUGUAACUGGAUAGGUUCUCCAACCAAUUCUACUUAGCUUGGGUAACCAUGACAUACUACUAGGUGUCACUCAUGGUUUGUGGAAGCCCUAAUGACUAGCAAACACUGAUCAUAAAGGGAGAAUUGAAAUGUGGUUUCAAUUCACAAUCGAUCGUUAAGAGUAACAAUCGCCCACUACCUCGCUAAUUAGAACCUAAUGGAUCGUACACCGAGUAAGGGCGAUAGUGAAGAAAUUAAAUGAAAUGGAUAUGCAAUUAAAUGGUUUAAUUGAAGAAUGGUCAAGAUUAAUUAAUUAGUUAAUUAAUUAUACGAAAGGUUCGUAUUGGGCUUUUAAGUUGGUUUUGGGUUUCGGGGCCUAAAAGUGUUUUGGUCCAUAAGGCCCAUUAUGUUUAAGUUGUAUGACAACUAAAACAAAAUGGGCAAUAAGCCCAAUCACAACAUAUAGGCCGGCCAUGGUGAGGAGAUGGUGAAAGUUUGCUUAAUUGCAAGUUUGCCACUCACCAAAGAAAAGUGUUAUAAAAGCAACUUUAUAGCUAUUUUCUCAUUAAGGGUUUUCUUUGAGGCAAAGAGGUGAAACAUUUUCUCUCUUUCUCUCUACAAAGAGGCCGACCACUUAGGGAGAUUAAUCUAGCAAUCUCUUCUUCCCUAAGUCAUCCAUUUCAUCUUCACACUUAACCCUUGGUGUGGAGACUUAGAGACAUCAAACUUUUGGUGUUUUGGAGAACAAAUCCUCAAAUCCUCAAAGAAGCAAAGGAGCACUAAAAGGAGGAAAAUCAGAAGGAAUAUCCAAGGAGCUUGGAAGUGACUUGAAGGCCCUCCACUUGGGUGAAUCCCUUGUGUAAACAAGGAUAAGCUUCAAGGGUAAAGAAAUUCUAAAUCUUUACUUCUCUUUAAUGUUGUUAAAGAGUUUAUUGGUUCACCAUAUACUAGGCUUUGAAAGUCAUGGGUUUUAUGAAUUGUUUUUGAAUGCAUGCCUACUUUAAAGUGUUAAUAGUUUGCAUAAGUAUUCAAAUGUUCUUACUUGUUAUUAGCUAGGACAAAUUUUUUCCUUCAUAUUGCCAUAUAGGUCAUAGUAGUGACUCCGGCUAGAUUGAGUUUGAGCUAUGAAUUCAGCUGUACAGACUACCACAAGGGUUCCGGCUAACGUAUUAUAUUUCUAUGAAAUCAUUCUUACCUGAAUUGUUUACUUUGUUAUAUCUUGGCAUGGCAUGCAUAAGUUUAUGAUUAUGUGAAGCAUGAAAUGAUUUGAUACGCGUUCAUAUAUAUAUUUAUGUAUAUGCUUAUAUCUAUUUUCUGGGAAAGUAACCAUAUACUUGUUUUACAGAGAGGGGUUAUUAUAUUUAAAGGAAAAUAAGGUUUUCAUAUAAAUGUGUUUUACUGACCCACUCAACUUUGUUUUUGCCCCUCCAGGUCUUAGAUAGCAGAGUUUGGUGGCCAAGAGGACUCCAACGGUGUUCUGACAGAAUCCGAAAAAGUAGGAUUCACCUUUGGGUGUUGUAUUUUAGCAAUCAUCCUACUCGAUUGCAACUAGAAACUCUUAUUGCUCUGAAAGUGUAUUUAUCCACUUAAACUCUCAUUGGCAUCCUUUCUUAAUUGGGAUUGUUAGUUAAUAGGUUUUAAAUUGUUAGUAUUUCUCUUUCUCUUUAUCGCUUCCGCUUUGCGCUCAUGGCUACGUCACUCUCACGUGACGGCCAGCACGUCUCGACUCCGGUCGGGGUGUGUCAGUAAAUCUCUAGGGUUUUGUGUUUAGAAAUCUUAUAAAGAAUUAAAGAUCCAUAAUCAGUAUAAGUAUUUUACUAAUAUGAUUAUAACAACACAAAGCUUGUUGUCAAGUUGGCUGAAGCAAGCACUCUCAACCUGGAGGUAAGAGGUUUGAAACAGUUGGCCUCUAGAUUUUAAGUAUUUGUUACAAAUUUAUAUAAUUAAUAUAUAUUAAAUAAUUAAAUAAAUAAAUAAAAAUUGGUUCGGUCCAGUCCAAUUUCUGGACCACCAAAACUGAAAUCGAACCAACCUAUUUCGGUUCGGUUUGGUUCACUUAGUUCAGUUCGAUUUUUUUUGGCUUCAGUUCGAUGUUUGACUAGAUUUUUUUUCGGUUUUUGAUUUUUUAAACCCACCCCUAGGUGUAGUGCCAUGAGCAACACGAUUUCUUUUCCAUGUAUGGUUGAUAAUUAUAUGGGUUGUUUAGAUAUAAGCCCAUACAAUCAUAUACCUCGGAUAAAAACCCACCUAUGAAUAAACAUCUAAUAAAAAUCCAAAAUUUAAAUAAAUUGCCACAUAAAAAAAUAAGUAACCUAUUAAUAUAAGUUAUUUACAAUGUAUGCCACAACUUUCUAUAACCGUUCUCAUACAACCAUUAUUAGUCAACCAUUAUGGAUAACGUUUUUAACAUUUCUUUUAUUUGUCAAAUAAUGAAUUAUUAUAAUGCACUACCAUAUGUCCUAACUAUAUGACUUUAGAUAAAUUAUUUUGUGAAUACAAAAACAUAUAUAUAGUAAAAUAAAAUAGAAGAUACAUUUUUUGAAAAGUUAAAUUGCAGGUAAAUUAUAUUCAUAUAUAUAUAUAUAUUAUAUAUAUAUAUAUAUAAAUAUAUAAAUUGUAGAUACACCGUUGUUGUAAAAAAAGGGAAAUUUUUUAAUAUAAAAUUGUAUAGACAUUAUUGUCACAAUAGGUAAAUUAGUUUCAUAUAAAAUUAAAAAGUAGGUAAAUUAUAUUCAUACAAAAAUAAAAUUGUGGAUACGUUAUUGUUAAGUAAGAACAGGUAAAUUUUUAUCCUAAAAUUUGAACAAUAAAUAAAUUAUUUUUGUACAUACAUUAAUUUUUUAAAAAUUAAACAAUAGGUACAUCAUUAGCUUCACAAAUUAUACACAGUAGGCAAGUUAUUUUUGCUAAAACUAAACAAUAAUUAAAUUAUUUUUGAAGAUACAUUAAUGUUGUAAAAUUAAAUAAUGUUGUAGUCCUAUUAGAUUAGGAAUGUGAUUGUGUAAAUCCUAGUGUAUAUAGAAUAUCUUGGAAUAUUCUCCUUUGUAGAUAUUAUCCUAUUAAAGUUGUAAUCCUAUUAGGGUAAGGAUUUAACCUAUCCUACUACUAUAAAUAAAGGCACAAUGGGGUGAUACAACACACACCUCAGAAUUACAUCUCUCUCAUCUCUCUCUCUUGCCGUUGGCCCUCUCCUUCUCUAGUCCUAAAUACAGUUCAGUCAAUUAGGCAUACAACACGUUAUCAGCACGCUAUUUCCAGAAGCUAAGGAACUCAAGGAUCAUAGGAGGAGGCUCUUCUACAUAAUCAAAGGCUUAAUCGUUUUUUGCGAAUGAGGUUCUUUUAAAAUAAAUUAAGAUAUUUGAACGACCUUGAAUGUGACAGCCCGUCCCGCAUUAAUGUUCUCGUAAGUGUAAGGUUAAUGUAUUAUCCUUAAGCGUUUUAAAGACUUAGAACUUUAGGGUUUGUUUAGUGCCUUAAAUUUUUGUUAAAGUUGGACGGUUUGUAUGUUAGUGUUUGAAUUAUUGUAACCUUUGUACUGUGCAUACACGGGUUACACAUUUCUCCCCCUUUUUCAUUGUUCUCCCGGGAUUCCCUCAAUCAUACUCCCUCUUUCCCUCAGUCCUGCUCCCUCAAACUCAUCCUCAUUCUCUCUCUCCCGACAAGCUCUCUCUCACUCCCUCUCCCUUUCUACACUCACGGCAAAACAACAAGACUCUCAAAAAUUUCACAGAUCGAAGAAAAUAAAACCACAAUCGUCUUCGUCUCGACGAUACGAGUCCAACCAUACCUAUUUCAGGUAAGAUCUCUAACGUUUUCACGUCGAAAUCACGAGCACCGAUUUGGGUACUAUUCAUCAACUUUUUAUUGGUUGAUUUUUAGGACUUUUCAAGCUUAUAGGAAGCUUCUUGAGGUCCUUAGGAGGCUCGGGGUAGUUCGUUGGAAGUUUUUGGACGUAAGAACACGGAGAUCGACAAGUUCAAAGUUUGGCCGGAGAUUUCGAGGCUUUUUCCGGCAAAUCCCCAGCGAUUUAGGGGUCAAGGUAGGUAUGAAUGUGUUCGUCUCAUCAAUAUCUUCAUUUUGAUAUAAAGUACUUUGAAAAUGGUGAAGAAAUGAAGAAGUUAUGACGUUUUGAAAAAUACCCAGAAAUUCCGGCAAAACCCCGCCGCCGGCGAAACCAGUCUGGCGACCCAAGGAAGAAGACGACGCGCGUGCGUGGGCCGAGCUGUUGGUGGCGCGUGAGGGCGCGUGCGGUGUCCAAAUCGGGUUCUAAAAAUUGCUACGUGUAGGUCACGGUGGUAUAUUCACAUACCCAAAUUGAGCAAUAUAUGAGAAGUUAUUAGCGAAUGUUGUGUAUGUGCUUUUAAAUGAUGUUUGUAUAAUUAUUCUUUUAUAGGUGAGACUUAUACCGAGGAGGAAAGUAACCAAACUAGGCGUGGGGGUUACGAACCGGCUACUUAUCAGUGAGUGGGCAGUUAUUUUUCAGUAUAUAUAUAUGUAUGCUUGACGUUUUUCCCAGAAAACGUAUUUAAAGGAAAUGUGAUUUAAUUAUCCUGUCAUAUAUGCAUCAUAUUUUAGUAUGUGCAUUAUUAUAAUUAUGCAUAUUGUUGCAUGGUGCUGAGGAGGCCCAGGUAAGCUACAUGUGAGUAUAUUAUGCUAGUAACGAUUAUGAGAUACGAUGUUGGUUAUGAUUGAGAUAUAAUGAAUUAUAUGAUUGAGAUAUGAUUGAGAGCUCAUUCACUUGCACACGUAUAUUAGUGCUCCCGCCCAGAGUUAGGGGCACAGUCUUUCACGUGAUGUUCACCUCCCGCACCGCAUGCUCGCCUUGGAUCCAAGUUAGGUGCACAAUCCUGUCGUAUAGACACUUUUAGUGGGUUCGACUCGUAGGUGACCCACGAUUUAUCGCACAGUCUUCACGUGAUUGUAGCACUAGAGCAUAUUAUGUUAUAUACAGUGAUGAAUUGCAGACCAUGUGAGGUGGUAUUGAAUGUGUGCAAGAUAUACAUAUAUAUACAUGAUGUGAUGAGAUGAUUAUGAGCUAUAUGUGCAGCUGAAGGCUGAGUUGAUUAUAAUGAAAGAGUAUGAACUAUGUUUAUAGCCGAGUGCUGAAUUGAUUAUAUGUUAUUCCAUCAUAUUCACUUAGAGAUAACGAGCAUUCAGUUAUGAUACUUUGGCAUGACAUACAUUCAUAUUGUCUAGCAUGAUUUGAGAUAUAGUACGUAUAUGAAUAUAUACUUUAUUUCUGGGAAACUAUACUUGUUUUACGGCGAGGGGUUAGUAUAUUCAAAGAGAAAAUAAGGUUUUGAAGAAGUUUGUUUUGCUGACCCAGUCAACUUUGUUUUGCGCCCCUCCAGGUUCUAGGUAGCGUUUGUUGUUGGAUCUCGAGGUUUCCAGCUGAAGUUCUGACAAACCAUCACUCAUGUAGGAUUAUCUUCGAGUGUUGUAAAUUAGUACAUCUUAUGUUCGACUGCACUUAGACCUUGUGCUCUGGUUGUGUAUUCACACUUAAACUUAUCUUAUAACCUAUGGUAUUUGGUUUUAAAUUAUUCGUACUUUCCUUAAAAUAUCGCUUCCGCACUGCGCACAUGGCUACGUCACGCUCACGUGACGGCCAGCAUGCCUUGACUUUGGUCAGGGUGUGUCAGUUUGGUAUCAGAGCCCUAGGUUGCAGUCCUGCAUAUUUUGUGAACUUCCUUAAUUAUUUUUGGUAUCUUCUGUCAGAACUAUGCCGCCUCAUAGAGAUCCACGUACUUCUUCUGAGCCUGGUUUUCCCGAUAUCACUCAGUUAGGGGAAGCCAUAGCCAAUGCCAUUCAAGCUUCACUUCGCCCUUUUCAGAAAACUCCUUUAGAGGCAGUGUACAAUUUGAAAUUACCUACUUUUAUGGGUAAUGAAGGACAUGAAGGGGCCGAGCGAUGGCUUGAGCAUGUAGAGAAGACUUUUCGGGUUAUGCAGAGUCAAGGCAAUCUCCUUGCUGAAAGGUGGGUUGAGACUACCACUUGGUUUUUGGGUAAAGAGACUGCAUCUUGGUGGGAACAAGAAUCUCGUGGAUGGUUGCCUGAAGAGGUAGCAAAUUGGAAGAAUUUUAAGGAUUCGUUCUAUAAGAUGUUUAUUCCUCCAGCCUAUCUUGACCGAAAGAAGCAGGAAUUCAUCAGUUUGAAGCAAAGAAAGAUGUAUGCUAAUGAGUACUAUCGGAAAUUUACCGAUUUGUCUCGAUAUGAUUCUGAAAUUGCUGCUAAUCCUGUUGAGAUGCUCAGACGUUUCAAGAGGGGUACUAAAAAGAAGUGGCGUUCCAUGGCUACUAUUGCAAGCUGUACCACUUAUCAGGAGUUUUAUGAGGUUCUGUUGAACAUUGAGGAUUCAGAAAAUUUACCCAGUGACAGUGAAGAAGAAGAAAAAGAUAAGAAUCAAAAGAGAAAUGAUAAGGGUAAAGGUCAGUUUUCUCAAGAACCUAAGAAAGCACAAAGUUUCAAAAGAAGUGGUAUGGGCUCGAGUUCUUCUAGUGGAGGUUUUGGUUUCUCAGAUCAAAGGCGUGGAGGUAGAUUUUAUGGAGGCCCUAAAUUCCAGAGACAGAGAGGUUUUGGUGGUUCUGGAGGUUCAACUGCUCCUCUUUGCCGUAGGUGCAAUAAUCGACACUUUGGAGAAUGUCGUCGAGGUAGCAGUGGGUGUUAUACUUGUGGUCAGAUGGGGCAUAUGGCUAAGUACUGUCCCCAAAGCCAGUAGAGACCUCAACAACCUUUCAUACCACAGCCAGCUCCGACUCAACAGCCUUUUGUGUUUUGCUGCACACGCACGACACCUAGCCUUCAGCCUAGUAGGGUUUUUUAUAGGCAUGCAACCUCAACCCACUUCCAAGGGGCCUGCAACUCUCAAUAAACUUGUCCAAUGCGUCUCUGGCCUACAGACCAAUAACCUUAUGUUCUUGGGCCUCGUCCCUUGCCCUAGGCUCAUUUCCAGCAAGCCUGCGUUGCUUGCUAGGCUUUGCCAACCCUCAGCCUAACCUGCCAACAACUUUAGAGCUGCUGAGCUUAUACUGUUGUAGACAUGAAAAUUUUUUUACAUACAAAUAAUGCAUCACAAAGCUUCACGCGGUGUAUGACUCAUCACAAAUGAACAAGUCAUCAAUGACAUUUGGCACAAAUUAAGCAAAGGAAGUACAAAACCUUCCUAAAAGUCGGCUAAAGGGAGAAAAUCCCUUUCAAAAUCGGCAAGGGGUCCAAGUUGCUCCCAAAAUCAGAAAGAAAGUUAAAGCAUCUUCAUAAAACAAGCAAGAAUUGAAGAUUGUUCACAAAAUAGGUAGUAAGCCCUAUAAUUCGGCCAAGGUAAGGGAAAGUGGCUGAAAUUAAGACACAAAACAUGCCUAAAUUCUCCCAUGGACGAAUCAAGACACAAAUCAAAGCCAAAUCCAUCCAAGGGCAAGCUUUAAGAAGUCUAUAAAUACAAGGUCCUUAGACAAGUAAAAAGGUCGGCAAUUUUCUACAUUGAAGGGGUCAACAAUUUCUACAUUCAAGGUGGACCAUUUCUACAUUCAAGGGGGAUCAUUUCUACAUUGACGGGCCGAAAUUCUCACAAAAGGAGAACCUCUGCCAAAUCUUUGAAGACUAAUACGUUGCCAAAGCUCUAUUCGAAGAACGCACAACCAAAGCCGAAGCACUCCAUUGAAGAAUCAACAAGAACUCGUGCUGAUUCCUUCAAGACUUUAUUGCAAGCUCAAAACUUGUAAUGAUGUUCGAUUCAAGAUCAAGUUGCCAAGACCCUUGAAUCAACAAAAUCCUACAUCAACACUACCUUUGCUACAACUUUAAGGUGAAGACCAUCCAAGCAUCGUUUCAAGCUCAAAACUUGAAGCAAUUUUUCAAUCGUUUGUCCGAGAUCAAGUCAUCAUGACCCUUGGAUCAAUGAUAGACGCAUAUUUAUGCGACUUAGUUAACUAGUUUUCUUGCAUUUACGUUAUUAGUUCUUAGUUAUUUUAGUACUUUAAGCCAUUUUCGUGUGUUUGUAGGUCCAAAGGGUUAAGGUAGCAAGAAAGUGCAUUUUGGUGCAUUUUGGAGCAGUUUUGAGCUUGGAAUGGAUUACUUAUGAUAUGAGCAAGAUGGAUGGACGAAUUUGAAGAAAAAAAGAGGCUAGGAACAUGCUAAAAAUCUGGUGAAUCAAAUACAAGUUGCAAGAAGGGAUAAAUUUCUAGAAGGAUUGGCCAAAACUUCACUCAAAACCAUGCAUACCCCAUAAAAUUCAUCAAUGCCGUGGCCUUCCCUUUGUUUUACUUCCACCAGAUUUUUUAGUGAUGAUGCAAUGCCUAUCUCACUAUGACAUUUGAGUGGAUGAUGCAAUGCUUAACUCACCAUGACAUGUGAGUGGAUGACUCAAAACCUACCCUCACCAACAAUUCUCCACCUUGCCAUGCCUUACCUACUUCAUUCCACCAGAUUUUUGCAUUAAACAUGUCCAUCCUCUUCCUAUAAAUACCAUGGCAGCAACCUCAUUCAAAUCAUCCAGAAAUUAACCAUUCUCCAAGCCUUUCCUUGCCUCUCCUACAUAUCUAAACCCCUUCCCAUCCAUUCCUCCAAAUAACCAACCCUUCAACAUCAUUCCAACCUUGUUGUUGCGGCAAGGAGUAGGAGAAAAGUCCUUGGACGCACUUGCUAUCCAACAUGGAUCGUUGGAACGUUUAGGUGCUUUCUUCCCUUUUGUUUUUCAAUGUUUAAAUUUGUUUAUCUUUGUUUUGUAAUAAUGAGGAACUAAACCCCCCUUGGCUAGGGGGGGAUUCGAAAUACAUGUUUAUGCUUGCGUUAUGAUUUGAUUACUUCUAAUUGCGUUUCAUAAGUUGUGAAUUCAAUUUACUUAUCUAUGUGAAUUACAUUGAUUUGUGUGUGUUGGUUGAGAGUGCACGCUUAAUUAUCAUGCAUAAAUUGAAUGCUAGGAUAUAAGGAAAUUUCACCUAAUCGUUAUGGAAUUAUAUUCACAAGUAGUAAAGGUUGAUGAUCUCAAUCGCGUUAAGUAAAUUCUUGGCAUAAGUUUCAUGCAAUCAUAGUAACAAGUGCUUCGUUAAUGCUUAUGGUUUUCAUAGAAUUUAAUGAUUCUUGCUUGUAUCUCUAUUAUGCAAUCAUGUAGGGGACUUGUGGUGAAUGUUUUGGGUUGUCGUAUGCAAUCAUCCAAUUCAAUAACGUUAGGAAAAUCUGAAGGUUAAUUUAAGCGGACCUAAUUAACUUGGGGCGUUGAGAAUUCAUGGUUUAUUGAAAUGCAAUUGGAAAUCGUUUUGUAUGCAAGUAUAACAUGUGUGGAGAUGAAACCCUUAGCUAGCCUUCCAUUAUCCAUUCAACCCAAAAUUGUUUAAAAUCUAUUUAAGUUUUUAGUUUAUUCGUUUUUACUUUCAACUUCACCAAACUCAAAUCCCCCUUUUACUUUCUUGUUUUAAAAUCUUUUGUUUACAUUUUUAACUUUGUUUCUUUUUGUUUUUGAGUCAGUUUAGAGGUUUUAGCAAGCCCUCCUAAUCCCCGGUUUAGAACGAUCCCUACUUACAUACUUUGCUACAAUUGUCAAAAGAGGGUUUAAUUUGUGUGCUUAUAUUAUUCGCAUCAAAUUUUGGCGCCGUUGCCGGGGAUUAGCAACUUUGCUAAAUCCCCAUUGUUUCUUUUUAUUUCUUUUUUUGUGUGUUUUAAUUUUAGUUUUAAUUUUAUUUUGUUUAUUUCAGGUACUAGUUUAUGACUCGUAGUUCUCAACCAGUUCAUGCACAUAUAUCGGAGUUUGACGGCAAUUUUGAACGAACUUUGAGAAGGAAAAGGAAAGUACCAGAACCUAGCCCACCUAGUUCUAGUUCUGAAUCCGAAUUUGAAGAAAAGGAGGAGGUAGAAAAAGACAUGGAGGUGGACAAUCGAACAAUCAAAGAACUUUCAGCCUCGGGAUUGGACAAUGCUGCGCCUCUAUGUAUCCAAUACCCCGCAGCAGCCCGAGGAAAGACAGAAGAAUUUGAAUUGAAGUCAAGCUUGUUACACCACAUUCCGAAGUACCAUGGGUUGUCCAUGGAAGAUCCUAACAAACACUUGAAAGAAUUCGAGGUGGUGUGUUCGAGCAUGACCCCCGUAAAUGUCAAUGGGAGUAUUUUGAAGAUGAAAGCCUUCCCUUUUUCUCUCUUGGAAAAGACGAAGGAUUGGUUGUACGAAUUGGCGCCCGGAACCGUCACAUCAUGGGAAAGCAUGAAACGGGCCUUCUUGGAGAAAAUUUUCCCAACUUCUUGAGUCAUCCUCCUACGGAAAAGGAUAAGUGGAAUUCAACAAGAGGAAGGUGAAUCUUUUCCUACUUAUUAUGAACGUUUUAAAUCUCUUGUUGCUUCUUGUCCACAGCAUCAGAUGAAGGAGGAACUUCUUUUGCAAUACUUCUACGAGGGGCUACUACCUAUCGAACGUCAAAUGCUAGAUGCCUCGGCGGGAGGAGCCUUGGUGGACAAGACCCCCACGGCAGCAAAGACUUUAAUUUCCAACCGUGCGUUGAAUGCUCAACAAUACGAAGGCGUUGGACAAAGGAGUAACCCACGACCACAUCAAGUCAAUGAGGUAAGUGCCAUAACCGAACUUCAAAAUCAAAUGGCUAACCUUACUACUUUGCUUUCUCAGGUAGUGGAAGGUCCAAAAGUGCAAAACGUGGCAGCUUGUGGCGUGUGUUCCAUGCAAGGCCACCUUACGGACAAGUGCCCACAGUUGAUAGAAAAUGGAGGGUGGGAGACCCUCAAUACCGUGGGAUUUGGCAACCAAUACCAACCAAGGAAUGACCCCUUUUUCCAAUACUUACAAUCCCGGUUGGCGUGAUCAUCCCAAAUUUCAAAUGGCGAGAACCCUAACAAGGCCAACAACAAAGCGGAUUUAGGCAACAACCCCCGGGUUUAUCAAAAAAAGCCGUUUGCAACCACCAACUCAACCCCAAGCACACAACCUGCCCAAAAAUCAGGUUCGUCUAUUGAUAAUGAUCAAAUUUUUAAUUUACUAACUUCUAUGGCGCAGGGAAUGCAAAAUAGGGACAAAAAGGUGGACGAGUUGGAGAAACAAGUAGGGCAAAUUGCCGAGUUUGUUGGGCAGUUUAGAGAACAAGGCAAGCUUCCUAGUUCAACCAUUGCGAAUCCAAAAGGAGGCUUUGAAACCGUCAAUGCAAUCAUGUUGAGAAGUGGUACACAGGUUGGAGCCAAACCAAAAUCAUCCAAAUCAAGUCACGAUGAGGAUGAAAAGUUGCUACAAGAGGAAGCACAGGGACCAAAACUCACAGCCAAGGAUGAACAAUCCUUGCCACCACCAUCUAGCCCUCCUAAGCCGUCCCAAACCACCAAGGUAAGUCCAAAUUCGACUUUUUCUAGUUUCCAUUCCACUAAAUGUGCCCUUUCCUGGCAGGUCCUGGCAGGUCAAAAGGCAAUCAAAGAGGAGGAAGAAAGUUCUAGAGACCUUUCGGAAAGUUCAAGUCAAUAUUCCCGCUCCUUGAUGCAAAUUAAGCAAGUCCCGAGGUAUGCUCAGUUUUUAAAAAGAACUUUGUACAUCAAGGAGAAGGAUUUCGAACAAAGAGGUGGUCCAAGUAAGUGAGAAUGUUUCUGCCAUGUUACAAAGGAAAUUACCCCCUAAAUGCAAAGAUCCGGGUAGUUUUACAAUUCCGUGCGUUAUUGGCAAGACUAAGUUUGAACAAUGCAUGUUAGACUUAGGGGCUUCGAUUAAUGUUAUAUGCCAUACUCUAUUUAUGCAUCUAUGAACUUAGGUGAGCUUAAAAACGAUGGUGUGAUUAUUCAAUUAGCCGAUCGUUCUAAUGCAUAUCCAAAGGGUGUUUUGGAAGAUGUGUUGGUGCAGGUGGGCAAUUUGAUUUUUCCAGCGGACUUUUACGUGCUUGACAUGGAGGAUUCACCCUAUUCUACCCCAUUGCCGAUACUAUUAGGGCGGCCCUUCAUGAAGACAGCCCAAACCAAGAUUGAUGUGGCUAAGGGAGAGUUAACAAUGGAGUUUGGUGAUGAAUUGAUUAAAUUCAAAGUUCCUGAAUAUGUUAAGAAUCCUCAUGAUGUUCAUUCUUGUUUUGCAAUAGAUGUGAUUAAAUAUGUGGGGAAGGAACAUUCAUGCGCACCAAUCAAGAAGGAUGUCCCUAGAUGCAUCAUCGAAGAGGGUAUUGGAGUGGAGCAUACAAAACAUGUCAUUACACCCAAAAUACCAAAUCUGGCCGAGAGCACCACCUUUGCUGCCCCUUUUGAGUCUUCAUCUACAUUCAUUGGUAAGCCUCCUCCUCUAAUUCCAAUUCCCAUUUCCACUAAAAGGUUAUUGCCUUCUAUGGUGCAGGUACCAAAUCGAAUCCAUGAUUAUGGGAGUUUUUACUUUGACCUUGGGAAGCUCAAUGCCACAAUCUGGGACCAUCAUUAUCCACUGCCAUACAUAGACCCAAUGCAUGAGUAUUUCAAGGAGCAUGUCAUGGAGGAUGUACCCCUCCAUGCCGUGGCACCUAGUCAAGCUUAAACGGAGGUACCGUCCGGCUGGAAGACGUUAAAGAAAGCGCUUCGUGGGAGGCAACCCAUGCAUUCGACAAAGGAAGGCCUAGAGAGCACUCCAAUUCUAGAUUUGCGUUCCUAAACCUUUCUCUUUGUUGUUUAAUUAGUUUCUGCCAUAUUUAGUUUGUUAGUGUUUGUUUGUUUGUUUAUGUGUUUUUGUGUUAGUUAUGCUUUGAAACAUUGAGGACAAUGUUUGGUUUAAGUGUGGGGGGGGUAACUAAAGUGUUUUGAUGCAAAAUCGUAGGGUUUUCUCACUCAUACUUCCCAAUGUUGUUUCUUGCUGUUUUUAGGUGUUUUCAGGCUGUUUUGGUGUGUUUUAGUGUGUGCUGACUUAUAACUCCGAAAAUCACAUAAAAAUUUGAAAAAUUGCUUUGCAAAACCCAAAAAGAGUUGUUUUUGUGUGUUUUUGUGUCUUAGGGUACCUUCCAACACAAUGAUGAGGAUUCGGUUUGUAAUUGCAUAACUGUUGAAGUAAGUUACAAACAUGGAUGAAAGUUUGACAUGCUCUUUGGUUUAUGCUUAGUUGUAAUUAUAGUUCAUGAAUUCACAUGUAGUCAAAAGAAAAAUUAGUUUUUGUAACAUGCUUGAAGAAAGAAACUCAAACUAACGCUACAACCCUGAGAGACUUGAGCUUUUAACGUUCUUUGGAGAGUUAAUAAUCUGUGCAUUUGUUGUCUUCUAAAGUCGUUGCAUGAUCUCAUUAUUCUUUGAUUGGUUACUACUUAGAAGGCGUUUUAUCAUGUAGUUCCAAAUGCUAGAACUCAUGCCCAUUUCAUUCAAAGCAUGCUAUUGAUCUGCAUAACACAUAUUCAAGAUGAAGUUGUGUAGUGACCACCACCAAAGCCAAAUUGUCGUGUAUCCUAUUUCAUUAUGUGUGUUUAAGUUUAACUCCAUUGAACCUUGUUUAGCCUUUUCUUUGUUAACCCACAUCAUCCUCACCUAGCCUAGAUUAGGAUUAUCCAUACCCUCGUUCUUAAAGUAUAGUAAGCAUGAUUCAAAUUGAAUUCCUUUUGAUUAAUGUGGGCAGAAAAUAAGUGUGGGGGAAGUGUUUAUCAUGUGAGUUUGUGUGCCAUAGGCACGAGUAAAAAAAAAAAAAAAAAAAAAAAAAAAAAAAAGAAAAAAAAGAGUUCCAAAAUAUUGUUUGUUGAAAUAAGGGUCCAAAACAAUGAAUUCGGCCCUAAGAAGUUGUUUAAAUCUUCCCCUUCUGUUUUAAAGUUAAUUUCUGCAAUCUAAGUGAAUUCUAAGUCUCAAUUUUACUACUUUGCUUACUAAUGCUUGAAGAACGUUUGUUUUCCCUAUCCUUUCUUUGUUAACCAUUCCCCAAGCCCCGUUACAACCCUUAACUUCUAUCUUGAGUGUUAUGUAUUUCAAUAUGUGGAGUUUGGGAUUGGUUUGAGCAUAUGGUGUCCCUGGUUCUCGCAUCUAAGUAGUAGCGUUCCAUUCAUGAGAUCAUAUCUAUAAAUGCUUAAUCAUUCCAGAAAAGUGCUUCUUUUAUAACAUGUGUGAGUGUUCGUUUCCAUGUUUACAUCAAUCUUCUCACAUAUACUUAGUAUAGGGAGUGUAGUUAGAAAUCUAUGUGAAAAUAAGAGUGUAUCCAGUAAGGAAUUGAGUGGAUUCUCUAAGGCAUGUUACCACGUCCAUAAUGUUGUUUUAAACGAUUAAAUGUGAGCUAGUGAAUGGUAACUAUGAUUAAGUAUAUGCUCAAGAGUAGGGAUGACUAAAAUAUGUGGGAAUAAUGAUCUUUGGCAUGUUAUGUAUCGUUGGAAAUCCCUAUAGCAAAUGUUGGAAGGUUAGGUUAUGUUUUGUUUGUUUUAUUUUGCUCGAGGACUAGCAAAAGCUAAGUGUGGGGGAAUUUGAUAGACGCAUAUUUAUGCGACUUAGUUAACUAGUUUUCUUGCAUUUACGUUAUUAGUUCUUAGUUAUUUUAGUACUUUAAGCCAUUUUCGUGUGUUUGUAGGUCCAAAGGGUUAAGGUAGCAAGAAAGUGCAUUUUGGUGCAUUUUGGAGCAGUUUUGAGCUUGGAAUGGAUUACUUAUGAUAUGAGCAAGAUGGAUGGACGAAUUUGAAGAAAAAAAGAGGAUAGGAACAUGCUAAAAAUCUGGUGAAACAAAUACAAGUUGCAAGAAGGGAUAAAUUUCUAGAAGGAUUGGCCAAAACUUCACUCAAAACCAUGCAUACCCCAUAAAAUUCAUCAAUGCCGUGGCCUUCCCUUUGUUUUACUUCCACCAGAUUUUUUAGUGAUGAUGCAAUGCCUAUCUCACUAUGACAUUUGAGUGGAUGAUGUAAUGCUUAACUCACCAUGACAUUUGAGUGGAUGAUGCAAUGCUUAACUCACCAUGACAUAUGAGUGGAUGACUCAAAACCUACCCUCACCAACAAUUCUCCACCUUGCCAUGCCUUACCUACUUCAUUCCACCAGAUUUUUGCAUUAAACAUGUCCAUCCUCUUCCUAUAAAUACCAUGGCAGCAACCUCAUUCAAAUCAUCCAGAAAUUAACCAUUCUCCAAGCCUUUCCUUGCCUCUCCUACAUAUCUAAACCCCUUCCCAUCCAUUCCUCCAAAUAACCAACCCUUCAACAUCAUUCCAACCUUGUUGUUGCGGCAAGGAGUAGGAGAAAAGUCCUUGGACGCACUUGCUAUCCAACAUGGAUCGUUGGAACGUUUAGGUGCUUUCUUCCCUUUGUUUUUCAAUGUUUAAAUUUGUUUAUCUUUGUUUUGUAAUAAUGAGGAACUAAACCCCCCUUGGCUAGGGGGGGAUUCGAAAUACAUGUUUAUGCUUGCGUUAUGAUUUGAUUACUUCUAAUUGGGUUUCAUAAGUUGUGAAUUCAAUUUACUUAUCUAUGUGAAUUACAUUGAUUUGUGUGUGUUGGUUGAGAGUGCACGCUUAAUUAUCAUGCAUAAAUUGAAUGCUAGGAUAUAAGGAAAUUUCACCUAAUCGUUAUGGAAUUAUAUUCACAAGUAGUAAAGGUUGAUGAUCUCAAUCGCGUUAAGUAAAUUCUUGGCAUAAGUUUCAUGCAAUCAUAGUAACAAGUGCUUCGUUAAUGCUUAUGGUUUUCAUAGAAUUUAAUGAUUCUUGCUUGUAUCUCUAUUAUGCAAUCAUGUAGGGGACUUGUGGGGAAUGUUUUGGGUUGUCGUAUGCAAUCAUCCAAUUCAAUAACGUUAGGAAAAUCUGAAGGUUAAUUUAAGCGGACCUAAUUAACUUGGGGCGUUGAGAAUUCAUGGUUUAUUGAAAUGCAAUUGGAAAAUCGUUUUGUAUGCAAGUAUAACAUGUGUGGAGAUGAAACCCUUAGCUAGCCUUCCAUUAUCCAUUCAACCCAAAAUUGUUUAAAAUCUAUUUAAGUUUUUAGUUUAUUCGUUUUUACUUUCAACUUCACCAAACUCAAAUCUCCCUUUUACUUUCUUGUUUUAAAAUCUUUUGUUUACAUUUUUAACUUUGUUUCUUUUUGUUUUUGAGUCAGUUUAGAGGUUUUAGCAAGCCCUCCUAAUCCCCGGUUUAGAACGAUCCCUACUUACAUACUUUGCUACAAUUGUCAAAAGAGGGUUUAAUUUGGUGCCCCACUCCAUCUCUAAAUUGCCGGCCAUAGGGAUUCAUUGGACUAUUUGGGCCUUUGUGAAUCAUUAUUCAUUAAGUUGUCAUACAACUUAAGUCAAUGGACUUGACGUUCGAAGCCCAUUGGGCCUUAAGGUCCAAAACUAUCCCGAGGUCUUUAACGAACUUAUUCGUUUGAUUAAUUAACAUAUUAAUUAAUCCUUGCCAUAAAUAAUUAAACCAUUUAAUUAUUCUUACUCAUCUCCGUUGUUUCUUUAAUCUCUACCUUACACGGUGUACGAUCCAUUAGGUUCCUUUUUAGCGAGGCAGUGGGCGAUUAAAACUCUUUCAAAUCGAUUGUGAAUUGAAACUUACUUUCAAUUCUCCCUUUAGUGUUUAUACACGUUUAGGGCUUCCACAAACCAAGAGUGACACCUAGUAGCAUAUCAUGGUUACCCAAGCUAAUCAGAAGAGGUGGAGAACCUAUUCAGUUUAGGAUUACAAAUGCAAUACGGUCUUUCUCUAAUACAAUACUCUUGACCACAUUGUUUGGUUUGAUAGUUUAUUCAUGUCUACUAUCCAAUGUGAUUCGUGUGCUUAUAUGAUUACCUUGAAUGUGAUUUGGAACGACUUCCUAAAUCUCAUUCAUACUUUGGCCAAAGAUUCUUAAUCAUAUCAUAGAGUAUUCUCCCUCAAACGGUUUGAAGGUUAGAGAUCCCUUCUUGCGCAUUCACUUGCCUCCAUGGCUAAGUGGCUUAACCCCAACGAUGCCGUGGACACCCUCGAAUGGAGUGACUUUGACACAAUCAAAGAUCAAGGACUUAACCACAAGACAACUAUGAUGCCUCAGGUCAAAGGACUACUUUGCAUUAUUCCAACCAUGAGUUCUCAUGUGACAUGAGUAUGAGAACUCCUCGUUGAUCGUGUUCAGUGACUCAUUCGCUAAUGAGCACCUACAUGCUUGUCUUGAUGUCACACACACCAAUGACUCGAGACUAGUCACUCUCCCUGAGAGAAGACACAGCACGUACUGAUCUUAAUGGACUGUCAAUGCCCAAUUAGCAAUCCUAUGAUCAGGAACGUUUAUGAUAUGUAUACGAAAGAGAAUGGUCUCAUUAAUCUAACUUGUUUAAAUCAUAUUCUCCUGAUUACAUAUUCCUUGGACUUAUCGUUUAAGCAUAUAACAUUUAUAUGAGACGGCUUAAACAAUAAUCUUUGCCCUUGAUAUUAAACUAGAUUAGUUUAACAUGUGAAAUGUCUACAACACUUGCCGCACUGUAAACAUGCUAGAGUUGACGAGUACGAAAUAGUUGUAGGAUGAACCUAUUGUUAACUACAUCAAUAUGUGGCGUUCAUUAAGUUUGGAUUGCAAAGAUCGGUUUUUUGAAACCUUAGCCAUUGAGAUGUGUUUUCAAGGCAUGCAUUGGGUGUUACAUUACAUCCUCCAAGGCAUAAAACUUAGAACAUUUGAGGAGCUGGUAACCUGUUCCCACGACAUAGAGUUGAGUAUCACCAAUCAUAGGAAGAAGAAGCCGAUCACCGACUUCAAGAAGGAUAAGUUGUUUGCCCCAAAGGUAGAGAAGACUGGGAAGAAGCCCACCAAGGAAGCUUUUACCAUCAAUACUAUCGUCAUCAAGACCUCAUCCAUGCCCUUCAAGAUCUUCUCCAAAAACAAAACAAAGGAGAUGAAUAGAGGUGAGCCUUCUCGCACCCAAGACAGUUACAAAAACACCUUGAGGGAACUUGAGCAGAAGACGUACCCUUUUCUUGACUCUAACGUGGCUGCAAUGCUAGACGACCUGUUGAAGAAAAAGGUAAUUGAGUUACCUAAAUGCAAGUGCCCCAAAAAGAUGAAUCACAUUAACAAUCCUAGGUACUGCAAGUAUCAUCGUAUCGUGAGUCAUCCUGUUGGCAAGUGGUUCAUACUUAAGAAGCUCAUCAUGAAGCUAGCACAACAAGGGAAAAUCGGGCUUGACCUGGAAGACACGGCCGCAAUACAUAUUACUACAAUCGUGUUUGGAUCCUUCGAUCCCAUGGCUUUCCAAGUGACACAUGACUACUCCCGUCUAUGCUCAAACUACACGACAUCUUCUGCACAACCAUUGUUGGAGGCAAGCGACCAAAAUGCACCUACCAACGAUGAAUAAGCGUGGACACUGGUGACCUACAAAAAGAAUAAGGAAGCCAAGACCACAAGCCACAAGGUCAAGGUGGAACAAGGGAGAAAGCACCGCCACCGUAACAGUAGGAAACUCAAAAGAAACAUAAGAGCUACUAACCCAACGUACGCUGGGGAACAUAUGGAGCAAGCGCCAUGCAUUCUUGUCUCCUUGCACGAGUACUUCUUGAAGGACUUCUUCCAACAGUGCACUACCGUGGCCUAUCACAUGGUUGAAGUGGAGAUAGAAGAGCCCUCAAAAGGUAAAGCUAUUGCUGUCAAGGAAGAGAAGACCUUUAUGCCUAAAUGAUAAGCUCAUAUUUAUAUAUAUUUUACAUAAAAUUCACUUGUCUUUUCGUAGUUAGUUCCUUAUAUUUUUGAGCUAUUUACUAUGUUUUUGUGUUUUGUGUGAUUUAUCAAGCAAAGAAAAGAAAAGUAGCACAAGUGAGUUAUUAAGUAACAAAUUCGUCAAAACUGCCUGUGCAGAUUAGCUGACUUUGGAAGAAUGUUACGAACAGCUCAGAAUGAAUGAGAGAAUGAGUCUUAUAUUUUUGGAAAGCUACGGAUGUCUAUUUUCUGGAGCAAUUUACGGAUUGUUAAUAUCAUUCUUCUAGAAGAAGUUAUGGGCAUUGUAACACUGAAAGGUUCAAAAAAGGGCUAAGCAGAUUUGGCUAAUAAAGUGAGAAAGUAAAGGCACUUGUUUUGUGUUUUGCUUUGUCAUCAACACUCAGCAGCAUAUAGGGUUAUGAUUGCACUCAUUUGGUUUUGGAGCAAGUGGAAAUGCACAGCUAGAAGAUGAACAAGGCACAUGGAAGAAACAUGGACAACACACACACAAAGAGAAAGGGAUGGCAUGGACAGUUUGACAUGGGCAGAAAAUGGGUGGAUUGUUGGCUGAAAUAAUGAAGAAUAUGUGUGUGCAAAUGCAAAGGAAAAACACACACACAUGGGUAAAGGAAACACACACACAUGGGCAAAGGAAAAACACACACAUGGGCAGAAAAUGGGUUGAUUUGUGGCUGAAAUGAUGGAGGUCAUGUGUGUGCAAAUGUAAAGGGAAACAUGGACAUCACACACCCAUACAAACUGCACAUGCAAGGAAUUGAAUCCUCUCCUUAGCCUAUAAAUACAUCCACCAUUCCCCUUCCUAGAGACAAUCUUGAUCCAUCAAAAGAGCUUCAUUCACAAACACAAUUUCCUUGUAGUGACCCCCAUCCAUUCAUCUAGCCAUACUACAUCUCACCGAUCCAUACACUUUCAUCUCUUAGCCGUGUAAAUCCAUUCCAUCCAUUCAUCUAGCCAUACUACAUCUCACCAAUCCAUACACUUUCAGCUCUUAGCUGUGCAAAUCCAUUCCAUCCAUAUAUCCAUACACAUCCUAGACACUUGUGCUACAACAAGGUGGUGAAAACAAAGGUCCUUGGCGUUUCAAGCUUGGAACUUUGGAGUGGUUUAGGUGUACUUCGUUCUUGCUUUCAAUGUCUACUUUGUUAUUUUCUAAUUUUGUUGCAAUUAUGAGUGGCUAAACCCCUAUUUAGUUAGGGGGAAGUUUGAAGCCAUGAACAUGCUUGAGAUUUGAAUUGAUUUCUUCCAAUUGUGAUUUGAUAAGUUGUGAUUGCAAUUUAAUUAUCUAUUUUAUUCAUAACUGAUUCUUGUAUGUUUAUUAAGGAUGCAUACUUAGUUUUCAUGCAUGAAUUAGAUGCUAGAAUAUAAAUGAGUUUCACCUAAUCGUUACAAGUUUAUAUUCAUGAGCAGUGAAGGUUGUUUAUCACAAUCGCGUUAAUUGAAUUCUUGGCAAUUGUAUCAUGCAUUCAUAGUUAUAAUUACCUCGUCAACACUUAUGAUUUUCAUUGAACGUAAUGAUCUCUGAUUGUAUCUCUAUUAUGCAUUCAUAUAGGGGACUUUUAGAGAAUGAUUUGGGUUGUCACAUGCAUUCAUCCAAUUCAAUGAGUAAAGGAAAAUCUGAGGGUUAAUUUGUGCAUCACGGUUAAUCUAGGGUGUUGAGCAUCAUAGUUUAUUGAAAAGCAAUUGGAAAUUAAUUCAUAUACAAGUGUGUCAUGUGUGAAGAACGGACCUCUAACUAAUCCAUCCAUCAUCUUAUUUCUUAAAUUCGUUUUACAAUCUGCCUAGUUUUAUAACUUGUUUGUUUGUUUCAAAUUCAUCAAAACUAAAAUCCCCCUUUUACUUUCUUGUUUCAAAGUGUUUAAAAUCUGUUUUGUUUGUGUUUUAGAGUGUUUUGAGUCAAGUCAAAACCCAAAUUUUGUCCAAAGUUGUGUUAGAGUCAGAAACUGCCUAGUUUGUGUUUUUAGGUAGUUUUAAGUGUCUUUAAGUUAUUUUGAGUCUUGUGAACCUGUUUUGAGUUCUUUAAGUCUAUUCAAAUGUUUUUAACUUUGUUUUUAUGUUUUUGAGUUAGUUUAGAGGUUUUAGCAAGCCCUCAUAAUCCCCGGUUUAGAACGAUCCCUACUUGCAUUAUUACUACAAUUUGACAACAAGAGGGUUUAAUUUGAGUGCUUAACUAUCAUCGCAUCACUAAAGAAGGCUUGCCAACAUAUUUUAGCAUCAAGGAAGCAUUACUAAUGUCCAAGAUGAUGCGAAAAGCACUAGUAGCGGUCUUGGCGAGUCUCGACGACCAUAAAGUGCAAAAAAGCAAGGACGAAGGCUUGAAACUUCGGCCACAUGAGUAUGCUAUAUGUUGUGCCGCCCAUGACGCAAUCAACUUCACUGAUAAAGAUUUGUUGCUAGGAUCAAAGCCUCACAACCGUCCUCUCUUCGUCUCUGGGUACAUAAGGGAGCAUAAAGUCAACUGUAUGCUUGUGGAUGGUGGAUCGACCAGAAAGAUCAUGCCAAAGUCAACAAUGACCACAAUCGGUAUCAAGUUGGAUAACUAUCCUAAAGCCGCCUUCUAAUCCAAGGUUUUAACCAAGGAGGACAAAAAGCAAUGGGCAAGAUCUGAGUAGAGAUGACCAUUGGUGAAUUUAAAUCAAGCACGCUAUUCUAUGUGAUUGAUGCGAGGCAACACCAAGCCAUUCACCAAAGUCGAAUCACACUUCGCAGACGCCGAGUUUUAUAUGGAUGAAGACAUGGUGCCUAAAGCUCUUCCAAAAGAAAUCAAAUCCAUAGUCAAAGCCACACCUAAGAAACAAAAAUGGCAAGCUGUGCCCAAGAAACAAGAAGGGGAAGUUGUGCCAUCUUCAAGCAAAAACAACGAUGAGUCUGCUAAGCCCAUAACAACCAAAGAGAGUGUGACACCCUCAAAAGGACCAAACAUACCCGUCUUCCAAUACAUCCCAGUAUUAAGAAGAAAGAAAGGCAAUCCCUAUUCGAAACUGGAACAAGCAAAAUUGACACAUAGCUAUACAAGGACGAUGUAAAGCUUCUCAAGACAAAUGAAGUUUUUCUCCUGACACAGUUGGGCAACACUAAAGUUUCAAAACCACUAUAAGGCUUUGUAAAACCCUGCCAAAGGGGGCAAAAUCAAGCUCUCUUCUAACCAAGAGGACCAAAAAAGGUUUCGACCCAAACGCCUACAAACUCAUGUCAAAGGCUGGGUUCGAUUUCUCUUCCACUUUAAAUCUUAGAAAGAAGAAUGCAAACACCAUCAACGACAACAAACAUGACCUCACCGAGAUGCAAAAGAAGUUGAAGGAGCAUGCUUACGGAUUUGACAGCAACAAAGUUCAACUUAGCUCCACAUCAAAUACACCCGUGAAAAUUUUAAGAAAAGAAAAAAACACUAGCGCUCAACACAUCAGCGUAAGCGUUAAAACAAGAUCAAGAGGAGCCUAAACCCGCCCCUCGAACAUCAGUCUUUGAUAGGUUGAAUCGUUCAAAGCCCAAAAUCCCAGCACUUGAUCGCAUCGGUGAUCAAUAUCGAACUUCUGUCUUCAAACGGCUUAACACGCCAACACCUCAAAGAUCUGUGUUCGAAAGGUUGUCAAAACCUAAGAAGCAAAGCGACACGGCUAGCACUCCUCCAUAAUGGUCGGCCUUGGAAAGACUUGACGAAACCAAGAAGCCUUCUAGGAAGAGGAAGACAACGCCAAAAGAAGAAAAGCUUGAUGGUCUAGUAGCAAAUGACGACUUUCGAAGCUCAAUUGUAACCUUGGAAGUUGACACAAAAUGACAAGUAAAGGUAAAGAGGCGCACGAUCAUCUAUGUUGGCCAAUCUUCACCCCAACAAGUCCAAGAGGACGACAUUGAAGAGGAGGUCCAAGACGACUUCUACAUCACAAUCUAAGAAGACAAAGAAGACGAAAUCCUCGAGAAAGACGUCACCGCUGCGCCACCACAACCCGAGGACCGUGGGGGCAAGUCACGGUUGAUGAUCUCAAGGAGCUUAAGUUAGGCACAAGCGAGAAUCCGAAGCCUAUCUUCGUAAGUGCACUACUAAGUGCAGACGAGAUCGAGGCCAACUACUCUUGGAGUAUAAAGAUGUCUUUGGUUGGACUUACAAGGAAAUGCCCGGCCUUGACCCUACCAUCGUCAUGCAUCAUCUUGCAGUCAAACCAGGGACGCGACCGAUAAAGCAAACUCAAAGACGCUAUCAAUCCAAGCUCAUUCCACAAAUUGAGGCCGAGAUUGACAAGUGUUGGAAAUGUGCCCUAAAACCAAUCAUAUGAUGAUACUUUACGGACAUUUCACAUGUUAAACUAAUCUAGUUUAAUAUCAAGGGCAUAGAUUAUUGUUUUAAGCCGUCUCAUAUAAAUGUUAUAUGCUUAAACGAUAAGUCCAAGGAAUAUGUGAUUGGGAGAAUACGAUCUAAAGAAGUUAGAUUCAUGAGACCAUUCUUUCGUAGACACAUCCUAAACGUUCCUGAUCAUAGGAUUGCCAAUUGGGCAUUGACAGUCCGUUAAGAUCAGUACGUGCUGUGUCUUCUCUCAGGGAGAGUGACUAGUCUCGAGUCAUUGGUGUGUGUGACAUCAAGACAAGUACGUAGGUGCUCAAUAGAGAAUGAGUUCACUGAACACGAUCAACGAAGAGUUCUCAUAUUCAUGUCACAUGAGAACUCAUGGUUGGGAUAAUGCAAAGUAGUCCUUUGACCUGAGGCAUCACAGUUGUCUUGUGGUUAAGUCCUUGAUCUUUGAUUAUGUCAAAGUCACCCCAUCUGCAGGGUGUCCACGGCAUCGUUGGGGUUAAGCCACUUAGCCAUGGAGGCAAGUGAAUGCGCAACAAGGGAUCUCUAACCUUCAAACCGUUUGAGGGAGAAUACUCUAUGAUAUGAUUAAGAAUCUCUGGCCAGAGUAUGAAUGAGAUUUAGGAAGGCGUUCCAAAUCACAUUCAAGGUAAUCAUAUAAGCACACGAAUCACAUUGGAUAGUAGACAUGAAUAAACUAUCAAACCAAACAAUGUGGUCAAGAGUAUUGUAUUAGAGAAAGACCGUAUUGCAUUUGUAAUCCUAAACUGAAUAGGUUUCUCCACCUCUUCUGAUUAGCUUGGGUAACCAUGAUAUGCUGCUAGGUGUCACUCAUGGUUUGUGGAAGCCCUAAACGUGUAUAAUCACUAAAGGGAGAAUUGAAAGUAAGUUUCAAUUCACAAUCGAUUUGAAAGAGUUUUUAAUCGCCCACUGCCUCGCUAAAAGGAACCUAAUGGAUCGUACACCGUGUAAGGUGGAGAUUGAAGAAACAACGGAGAUGAGUAAGAAUAAUUAAAUGGUUUAAUUAUUUAUGGCAAGGAUUAAUUAAUAUGUUAAUUAAUCAAACGAAUAAGUUCGUUAAAGACCUCGGGAUAGUUUUGGACCUUAAGGCCCAAUGGGCUUCGAACGUCAAGUCCAUUGACUUAAGUUGUAUGACAAUUUAAUGAAUAAAGAUUCACAAAAGGCCCAAAAGCCCAAAAUCCCUAAUGUGGCCGGCCAUAUGUGUUGAAUUAGGGUUUUUUGGUUCUUUAGGUCAUUUAUAGAAGUGACUAUAUAAAGGACUUUAUAGCCUAAAAUUCAUUAAGGGUUUCUUUUGGAGAAAAUUGGUGAGAACUUGUCUCUCCUUUUCUCUCUCUAAAGAGGCCGGCCCCCUUGGAGGGUGGAUCUAGCAAUCCCACUACUCCAAGGUCACUCAUUUCUUCUCCAAUCUCUCUUUGGUGUGGAGACUUAGAGGUUCUCAAUUUUGGGAACUUGGAGAAACCUUUUCAUUCCAUCCAAAAUCCAUAGAGAUUUAAGAUGCAAGGAAUGAAGGCCCUCUCCUUUGGGUGAUUAGCCUUUGCUUAUGCAAAGAGGAAUCUACAAAGGUAUAUAAUUUCUCAACUCACUUUGUUUUGAGUUGAUUCUUGGUUCACCAAUCUACUAGGCUUUGAAUUUCAUGGGUAAUGUUUUGUUUUUUUGAAUGCAUGCAAGCAUGAUUCCGCCUUUUAAUUGUUAAUUGCAUGCUAUAGAUGUUGCUUCAAAUGAACAUGUUUUCACAAAAUCAUCCUUCAAGUGGUAUCAGAGCCUAGGUCUAGUAGUUGGUGAAUCCUUUUGGGUUUUGUAGUUCAUAGUUUUGAUUUAAAAGUUGUAAUAUGUUACAAGCUUUAUUCUUGUUUCUUUGAAUGUAAAUUUUGUUAGAAAAUUUGCCAUCUCAAAUGUUGUAGAUGUAGUUCAUAUGAGCAUGAAUAUUGGAGCUAAAAUUUGGUGCCAUGUUUUUGGGAAUUUUCGGCCAAAUACAUAGGGUGAUUUUUUGGGUUCUUGUUUGACUUGUUAAAAGUGUUUUCAAGUGACUUUUGGAACCCCUAUGUACCCUAGUUUGGUUAUAUGUUAUUUCCCUAAAGUUUGAAUGGUUUUGAGAUGUUUUUGGGUGAAAAAUGUUCAUGGAAAAUUUUGAGUUUUUCAUGAAUGUUCUUCAUUGUUCUUGACAUUUUUGCCAAGAACAAAAAGUUUUGUGUUUUGAUUCAAAGUUUUGAUUUAUUUCAUAAAGUUUAUGUUUUAUGAUUUUCAAAUGUUUAAAUGUUUUAGAUGUUUGUUUAAAUGGUGUAAGAGAUAUUGGUGGGUGUGUAAGGAUUAAUUUCCUUUCACACACACCACUUGCACCACUUGAUUGCUUUAUGUCAAAACUCACAAAUCAACACACACUUCACUCCAUUUCUUCUUCCAAAACCGGCCACCCCUAAUGUGGGGUACUUUUGGGGCCUUUUAUGCAAUUACAUAAAGUUUUGAUACUUUUGUGUAUUUGCACUUUGGCCCAAAAGUUUACGUUUUUACGUUUAGGUCCAAAAACGCUAAAGGACAAAUUGUUUUGCUCCUUUAAUGAAGUUUUUUUACAUUGUUUAAAUUUUGGGUUCUAGUUGUAAUUACAUGAAGUAGUGGACUUUUUGUGUUUUACAAAGUGACCCCAAAAGUUUAUGUUUUGCAAUAUUGCCCAAAGGUUGUGGUAAUUGCAUUUUGGCCCAAAUUAGGUUGAGAACAAAAUUGUUUUGUCUCUUUAAAUGAGAAUUGGAUUUUCAUUUCAUUUAGCUCCAUUUAAAUCAAUUUUAUGGAUACAAAAACCAAAUGAAAAUGUUGCAUUCAAUUUAAUUAGUUAAAGUGUUAAUUAAUUAAAGGGUGAUUAUGAACCUAAGCCUAAUAUAAUUGAGCUAUGUGAAAGGCCGUUUCAAAUUUGUUUGAACCAUGGGAAUGUGUAGAUUAGAUUUUGGUUGUAAUUUGAUUUGAUCAAAUGUUGUAAAAGGGCAUAAGCUCUUCUUUACUUUAAGGUAAUUUGUUUUAUGCAAAUGUUGUAAUGAGCAUAAGCUCACCUUUACUUUGAAGUACUUCUUUCUUGCAUUUAAUUUGAUAUGCAUGAAAAUGAAGUAGUUGGGUCCAACGCCCCUAAGACAACACGCCUUAAUGUGAUUAAACGCGUAACUAAAAUCAAUCACCAUCCCUAGACCGAGAUUCAACACAAGGCUCGUGUUGAAUCUAAACAAAGGUUCAUAGUCAUCCUAAGGCCCUAAGGCAACUAUAUAGUCCAUCAAAUGAAUGCAAAGUUUAUGUUAGUAGUAUCAUAUACUCUUGCUUUAAAAACCGUUUUAUAAGCAUAGUGGGAGUAUUAUAUACAACUAAAACAAUCAUAAUGGACCAAUAGUUGUAAUAGGACCAAAAUUGUUUUAAUAAAGAUUAAAAUGAAUAUUUAUAUGUGUGAUGAGACCUAAAACCCUCAACCAAACCAUUAUUAAGUUGAUAAGCGUGAGAGUGCUUUGAACACUCUUUCGUGGCCUUCCACCGUGGUGGGCUUCCAAUCGUUUGUGACUCAUACACCGUAUUCGUCCAGCCUCAUGGGGUUGCAAAGUAUGUGCUUACAUUCAGGAGAAGCCUAUACACAUAUGAUGAAGUGAAAGGUAGGCAACGAGUGUGGUCAAUAUGAUAUUCUUCUGAGGCCAUUCUUGAACCCCUACUUGAACUAGCAUGGUGGGAAUGACUUAACUAAGUGCAAUGUGCCAAUAUGAUAUUCUUCUGAGGCAUCAUUCUCUAGAGGCCAAACUAGAUGGGUACUUGCAAGAGAUUGCAAAUGAGUAAGCGUACUCUCUCAUUAUUAUUAACGCUAGCCAAUAUGAUUUUCAUUCUGAGGUGGGCUUGGUAGUAGUGAGUCUCCCAUACCCUACUAAGAGUUUCCUCCAAAACUCUCGAAUUCCAAUGAGGGAUAUGGAAUUUGCCAAAAAUAGUGGGUGGUGCUAUUUGAUUUAAAGACCCGGAAUCAAAUGGCUUAAAAUCAAUCAAUUUAUAUUCGUUAUGUAUUUGUUUACCAAUAUAUUUGCAAACGCUAUCCAACACUUGACAAAUAAAAGCCGAAAGCUUUAGUUUCCGGACUUGGUACUACAAAACCAUAGAUUGUCUUUAAUGGCUUGUAAAUGUACCUAAGUAGUCUCAUCCUCACAAUCUUCCUAUUGAUAAUGUAUCAUUAGAAGAAUAUGUUAGAAAAGUCUAUCAUAAGAGGACAACACUUUUAAUGUCAUAAUUCUUCAAUUACAAAUUGUUGUAUGAAGAAAUAAGAGUUGCUUUGAACAACCCUUAAUCAAUGCAAAACAUUAGUGCUUGUUUCUUUUGUUACAUGAACAAGGAACUUUAGAAGAAAGCACAAGGGCAUGGACACUUUAUGUGCCAUGAUUCUUCACUUACAAAUUGUUGUAUGAAGAAAUGAGAGUUGCCUUGAACAACUCUUGAAAGUUUGUAAUUAUGUUUAGAACAUAAUGGUUGGUUGACAAAAAUAGUCCAUCAACAUGGACUUAUGAUGAUUUUGAAUCAUUGAGUGUUGAAGUGUUAAAUCACUUAACGAGACGGAAACUAGGCAAGGACUUCACCUUUGUUUCCCUAUCCUAAUGGUUCACUAAGUUUAUUGUAAACUAUGUAGUGAACAAUAACCACAUGCUCUCCAAAAUUUUUGAUGUGUAUAAACACAAUUGAAAUAAGUUUCAAGAGAGAUAGUGGGAGUUUAGGGACCAUGACUAUUGUAGUCAAAGGAGAAGUCAAAUAAAGAAGAUAAAAAUUAACUCCAAGGGAACAAACUUUCUUUAUGAAAGGAUGGACAUUGGAAGGGGUAUUUGCAAGAAAUGUCUUGCAAGUGUCAAGAACACACCUUUCGAAGGUGUUGUAAAUUGUUCUUGAAUAGUUCAAAACAGUUGGUUCUUCUACUUGAAUGCUUGAUUCCGUAUUAGUAACUAUGUUUUACAAUCGUUGUAAAAGUGUGACUAAUAAGAAGUAGAAGAUAUAUGAGAGAAGAAAAGGUGCUUCACAUUCGGAACGUGAAUAAAAUAUAGAUCUCUGCGAAAGCAGAUAGUACUUACUUCCUCAUAUGAACUACCAAAGAAAUUGGAAAAACCAAAGAUUGUCUUUACAUUCCAAUUUUAAGGAACUUAAUUCCGUCACUAUAGUAGAGAUGGAUGAAUGUUUUGUUUGACAAAACAUUGUUCUUUAUUAAUCAAUGAUUGGAUUAUAGUAAUCUAAUUGAUUGUCUCUAUAGUAGAGAUGAUAUGGUAGUGUUAACUGUUUAGAAUAUAAUGAUGCUUAAAACCCAAAAGGUUGCAAGGUAGUGACUAAUCCCAACCGAGUUGUGAUACCUCUAAAACAUAAGUUAUGAGUUGGUGAAAAAUGGAUGCUUUGGAUUGUUAGAUCCGGAUCCAAUACCUUCUUAUUAAAAUUGUAUAGAGGCGAAAUGUUUGAAUCUUUAUUCUUUUGGAAAGAAGAAAGAAUCACAAAGUUGUUGAGGUUAAUUCACUUAGAUGUUAGUGGCACUUGUCCACAACAUAAUACUACUCAUGUUGUAUGACAUUCACCGAAGAUCACUCUCGGUUGGACUAUAGUUUAUUUUGAAUAAACACAAGUCCGAAUACUUUGCAAAAGGUUUCAAAGAAUUCAAGAAAUGUAAGUUAAUGAGUAAGACGUCUAAAGUAUUUACCUCCUUAGAUUUGAUCCAAGGAAAAGUAACACUUUAGAUGAGUUUCCUUGAAAGAUAUCAAGGAAAGAAGCAUCAUAAGAUAAUGAAUUUCUCCAUUAGGAGAAGAACGAACUUGAAUAAGAUUUAGUUCGUUAGAUGUUAUCUAUUACCCAUAUAUAUAGGAUAUAUACUUCUAAAAACAAUAUGAUUGUAAAUUAGAAGAUCUUUCCAAAUUUUCAUGACUCCAUAAGAUGUAGUUGGAAAGAAAGACAAAUCUUAAGCAGCAUGUUAAGAUUUGGGGUUGUGUGCUAAUUAGCAAUAUUUGUUUGAUAACAAUCUUGUGGGAUAUCCUUAAAUUAACUUUUGGAUAUCGCUUCUAUAAACCAACUAACAAAUGUUGUUUUGUUGGGUAGUUCAUUGUAAUCCUACAAUGUGAUUUGCCUAAGAGCUAAUGAACGAGAGAUAGAACUCAAAGGAUGGGUUCUUUGAGAGACAAGAAAGUAAUCAACAAAUAUAACAACCUAGUUCCUAUACCAAAGGCUCCAAGGUAGUCGAGAAGGAUUUAUAAAACGUCUCAGUUGAAUGGUUUGAACUUUAUGACUAUGUCAUAGAGUUACACCUCUUAAUUCGAAAGAAAUAAGAAUGAAAAUCCUUAUGACUACAUUGAGUGUAUAUAUGAUAUAUACUCAAGGAAAUGGUAAAGUACCAUUUGACCCGAAAUAAUGAAACCUUCAUAAGCUAAUUGGUAGCUUAAGGUGACUACAAUCAAAGAGAAUGGUUGACUUUGAAGAAACCAUCUUUGAGAUAGUCUAGGUUUCAAUUAAUUCGAAGAUUGCUAGCUACAACUAAAUUGUGAUUCAAUGUUUGGACAUUAUAUGGGUUUCCGAAACCAUUAUUAAGAUAGUCUUGAUAAUAUAUGUCUAAAACUAUAAAUCACAAGACAUGUAAGUUGUAGAGAUCCAUCCAUCAUGGAUCUUAGCAAGCUAGUGGGAGCUAUAAGCAUCUUAUGAGAAAAGGAUCAAAUCGUUUGAUUUCUCAUAAAGAUGUAAAUGAAUCUUUUGUUUACUAGGUUUACAAAAGAUUAGUGGGAGUUAAUAAUGUUCCUAAAAUUUAAAAUAUAUAUAUGAUAUAUUAAUUUUGGAAAUGAAAAGAAUACUUCUCCAUUAAAGUUAUGACUUUAAUACAUUAUAUGAAGAUAGAAUGUAUAUGCAAGUUAAUCAUGUUCCUAAAUUUAAAUGUGCCCUAAAACCAAUCAUAUGAUGAUACUUUACGGACAUUUCACAUGUUAAACUAAUCUAGUUUAAUAUCAAGGGCAUAGAUUAUUGUUUUAAGCCGUCUCAUAUAAAUGUUAUAUGCUUAAACGAUAAGUCCAAGGAAUAUGUGAUUGGGAGAAUACGAUCUAAAGAAGUUAGAUUCAUGAGACCAUUCUUUCGUAGACACAUCCUAAACGUUCCUGAUCAUAGGAUUGCCAAUUGGGCAUUGACAGUCCGUUAAGAUCAGUACGUGCUGUGUCUUCUCUCAGGGAGAGUGACUAGUCUCGAGUCAUUGGUGUGUGUGACAUCAAGACAAGUACGUAGGUGCUCAAUAAAGAAUAAGUUCACUGAACACGAUCAACGAAGAGUUCUCAUAUUCAUGUCACAUGAGAACUCAUGGUUGGGAUAAUGCAAAGUAGUCUUUUGACCUGAGGCAUCACAGCUGUCUUGUGGUUAAGUCCUUGAUCUUUGAUUAUGUCAAAGUCACCCCAUCCGCGGGUGUCCACGGCAUCGUUGGGGUUAAGCUACUUAGCCAUGGAGGCAAGUGAAUGCGCAACAAGGGAUCUCUAACCUUCAAACCGUUUGAGGGAGAAUACUCUAUGAUAUGAUUAAGAAUCUUUGGCCAAAGUAUGAAUGAGAUUUAGGAAGGCAUUCCAAAUCACAUUCAAGGUAAUCAUAUAAGCACACGAAUCACAUUGGAUAGUAGACAUGAAUAAACUAUCAAACCAAACAAUGUGGUCAAGAGUAUUGUAUUAGAAAAAGACCGUAUUGCAUUUGUAAUCCUAAACUGAAUAGGUUCUCCACCUCUUCUGAUUAGCUUGGGUAACCAUGAUAUGCUGCUAGGUGUCACUCAUGGUUUGUGGAAGCCCUAAAUGUGUAUAAUCACUAAAGGAAGAAUUGAAAGUAAGUUUCAAUUCACAAUUGAUUUGAAAGAGUUUUAAUCGCCCACUGCCUCUCUAAAAGGAACCUAAUGGAUCGUACACCGUGUAAGGUGGAGAUUGAAGAAACAAUGGAGAUGAGUAAGAAUAAUUAAAAGGUUUAAUUAUUUAUGGCAAGGAUUAAUUAAUAUGUUAAUUAAUCAAACGAAUAAGUUCGUUAAAGACAUCGGGAUAGUUUUGGACCUUAAGGCCCAUUGGGCUUCGAACGUCAAGCCCAUUGACUUAAGUUGUAUGCCAAUUUAAUGAAUAAAGAUUCAGAAAGGCCCAAAAGCCCAAAUCCCUAAUGUAGCUGGCCAUAUGUGUUGAAUUAGGGUUUUUUGGUUCUUUAGGUCAUUUAUAGAAGUGACUAUAUAAAGAACUUUAUAGCCUAAAAUUCAUUAAGGGUUCUUUUGGAGAAAAUUGGUGAGAACUUGUCUCUCCUUUUCUCUCUAGGAGGCCGGCCCCCUUGGAGGGUGGAUCUAGCAAUCCCACUACUCCAAGGUCACUCAUUCCUUCUCCAAUCUCUCCUUGGUGUGGAGACUUAGAGGUUCUCAAUUUUGGGAACUUGGAGAAACCUUUUCAUCCAUCCAAAUCCAUAGAUUUUAGAUGCAAGGAAUGAAGGCCCUCUCCUUGGGUGAUUAGCCUUUGCUUAUGCAAAGAGGAAUCUACAAAGGUAUAAAUCUCAACUCACUUUGUUUUGAGUUGAUUCUUGGUUCACCAAUCUACUAGGCUUUGAAUUUCAUGGGUAAUGUUUUGUUUUUGAAUGCAUGCAAGCAUGAUUCCGCCUUUUAAUUGUUAAAUGCAUGCUAUAGAUGUUAGUCAAAUGAACAUGUUUUCACAAAAUCGUCCAUCAACAAGCUAAUCAAAGCAGGCUUCAUUCGAGAGGUGCAAUACCCUAAAUGGAUCUCCAACGAUGCUUACCCGAAUGAUGACUUUCCCUUGCCAAUCAUCUAAAUCAUGGUGGACGCGUAGGACCAAUUAUACCAAAAUCAUUUGCAGGAUAAGCCUACAUCCUAGUCGUAAUGGGUUACUUCUCUAAGUGGGCUGAAGCCGUACCCCUAAGGGAAGUCAAGAAGGAAACUGUUGUCCAUUUCAUCAAAGAACAUAUCAUCUACCGAUAUGGUGUGCCUCGCUACCUCAUCCUCGACAACGAAAAACAGUUCUCUGACCGACUUAUGGAUGAGCUUUGCAAGAAAUACAAAUACAAGCAUCAUAAGUCUUCCAUGUAUCAUGCUCCGGCCAAAAGUCUCGCGGAAACAUUUAACAAAACAUUAUGCAACCUCCUGAAAAAGGUAAUCAGUUGAACAAAGAGAGACUGGCUUGAAAGAAUAAGCAAAGCACUUUGGGCAUUUAGGACAACACAUAGAACUCCUACCUAAGCUACGCCUUAUGGCGUGGAAGCUGUUCUACCACUCGAAAGUCAAAUCCCCUUACUAAGGAUAGCUAUACAAGAAGGCUUGAUUGAAGUGGAAAAUGCAAAGCUAAGACUUCAAGAGUUGGAAGCACUUGACGAAAGGAUGGUUUAAGCUCACCAACACUUGGAAUGCUACCAAGCACGGCUAUCCAAGGCAUUCAAUAAGAAGGUUCGCUCAAGUUCUUUCCAAACUGGAGAUCUUGUCUUGGCAUUACGAAGGCUUAUCAUCACAACUCACAUUUGAAGUGGACAUUGUUUAGUUAUCUAGAAUAUUUAGGACAUGUUUUGCCCCUAGUUCAAAAUAGGGAAGUUUAAUAAAAAGCUCUCAGUACUGUUCACUUUAACGAAAAACCACAUUUUUACAUUAAAAAGACAAUCCUAGUACUAUUGACUUUACCCUUUGAAAAUAUAACAUUAUGAAACCUAAUAUGUCACUUGAAUCAAAGAUAAUUGAUGGGCAACAACUUCUAAUAUAUAGAUUAAAUUCUAUAAGUUGAGCCUGACUGCUUACUAGGAGAAUACAAGUAUAAUUAAUAGCUGUUAGGCUGAGGAGGGAAGUCUAAAUGUCCUUAAUCGACCAAAUAAAUCCCAAUUAUGAAAUAAACAAACCUGUAAAAACUUGACAGGUCCAUCAGUUCAAAACCAAUUUUUGACCAAACUCAUGAUAGAGAAACAUGUAACUUCUAAUACAUUUCGGAUGGUGUUACCUACACUCUUUUUUACAUUUAGAAUGGUGUUAUCUCUGCUCUUUUUUUCUUCAAUUUAUUCGAUUUGACGACUGAACAUUAAGAGAAUGUGAAAAAAGAAAAAUAAGGUUAGCACCAACCUAUAUUUAGUUUGAAUACGUGUAGUGGUAUUUCUCUUCAUUUGUAAGUGAGAGGUCUUAGGUUCGAUUCCUACCAAAGGCGAAUUUGAACCACAUUAUUGUUAGUCUAAUGUGAGGCUAAAUUCACUAUUUCUUCUUCAGUGUAAACAAUAUCGUGUUAAAAAAAGAAAUUCAAUCAUCGAAUGAUAAUUUUCAUGUUUAUAUUUUAAGUGGAAAGCAGCUUCGUACAGUAGGGUAUGCAGUGCCUUUUUCCUUUUUAACUUUGUAGUACAGUGUUUGCUUGGCAAAGUAGCACCUUACUUGGGGGCUUUCCUGCACACAAUACAAAAGCAAAGUUCGACUUCUUCAAAAAAGGAAAUAUAUAAUGUUACGUUUAAGUGCUUUGCAAAGGAUCGUUAAGGGUGUAGUUAGGGUGUAGUUAGGGUGCACUUAGGUGCAGUUCCAUGAGCAACACAAUUUCUUUUCCAUGUAUGGUUGAUAAUUACAUGGGUUGUUUAGAUAACUAUACAAUAUCGAAAACCGAAAUCGUGAAUGUCUGCCCAAGGUCUUUUCAAUCUGGAGAUGUUGUCUUGUCAUUAUGAAGGCCUAUCAUCACAACUCACAAGAUAAAAAGCAAGUUCACAUCAAAGUGGGAUGGACCUUACGUAAUACAAGAGGUCUACAGAAACAACGCUUACUUAAUCAUGGUAGAAGACGACUUAAAGAUCGGCCCCAUGAAUGGCAGAUUCUUGAAGUGUUACUACCCUUAAACUAAACAAGCAAAGUUCCUCGCUUGCAUGAGCCUAAACUGCAUAGGAAACAAUGCUCAUUGUUCUCACGAGCUUAAAAGGCGACACCCAAUGCUCCUUGUUUGCACGAUCUUAAAAGGCGACACCCAAUGCCCUUCGCCUGCAUGAGCCUAAACUGGACAUGGCACAAAGCUCCUCACUUGCACAAGCCUAAACUGCACAGGAAACAAUGCUCCUUGUUCACACGAGCUUAAAAGGUGACACUCAACGCUCCUGGCCCUCAAUGAAGGAAAUAUUUGUGAAAACUAGUUCAUUUGAGCAACAUCUACAACAUGUAAUUAAUAAUUAAAGGCGGAAUCAUGCUUGUAUGCACUAAAAAAGAAAAAACUUUACCCAUGAAAUUCAAAGCCCAGUAGUUAUCGUGAACCAAGACUCAACUCAAGAACAAAGUGAGUUGAGAAAUAUUAUACCUUUGUUGAUUCCUUUUUGCAUAAGCAAAGGCUAAUCACCCAAGAGAUAGGGCAUUCAUUCCUUACUUCUUAACUCCAUGGAUUUCUUGGAUGAUGAUAGUAGAAUGGAUUCUCCAAGUUCCCAAAAUAGGGAACCUUUAAGUCUCCACACCAAGGAGAGCAUUGAUAAGGAGAUGAGUGACCUAGGAAUAUUUAGAUGCUAGUAAAACCUUCCUAGGGUGGUAGGCCUUUUAGAGAGAAAAGGGAGCUUGUGUUCUCAUCUUUUCUCUAAAAGAAAUCCUAAGGAUGAAAUGGCUAUAAAGUUGUCUUUAUACCACCUCACAAUGGAGUGGCGAACUUGCAAUUAAGCCAAGUUCACUACCCUUCACUCUUAUGGCGAGCCAUAUUGGGUUCUUUAGGCUUUGAGGCCUUUUGUGUUUCAAGUUGUCGUACAACUUGAGUUAAUGGGCUUGACAUUUAAGUCUCAUUGGGCCUUGCGGCCCAAAACUAACCCUAGGUCUAUAAUGAACAUAUUCGUUUGAUUAAUUAAACUAACCCUAGGUCUAUAAUGAACAUAUUCUUUUGAUUAAUUAACAUAUUAAUGUUGGAAAUGUGCCCUAAAACCAAUCAUGUGAUGAUACUUUACGGACAUUUCACAUGUGAAACUAAUCUAGUUUAAUAUAAAGGGCAAAGAUUAUUGUUUGAGCCGUCUCAUAUAAAUGUUAUAUGCUUAAACGAUAAAGUCCAAGGAAUAUGUGAUUGGGAGAAUGCGAUCAAAUGAAGUUAGAUUCAUGAGACCAUUCUUUCGUAGACACAUCCUAAAUGUUCCUGAUCAUAGGAUUGUCAAUUGGGCAUUGACAGUCCCUUAAGAUCAGUACGUAUUGUGUCUUCUCUCAGGGAGAGUGACUAGUCUCGAGUCAUUGGUGUGUGUGACAUCAAGACAAGUAUGUAGGUGCUCAGUAGAGAAUGAGUUCAUUGAACGUGAUCAACGAAGAGUUCUCAUACUCAUGUCACAUGAGAACUCAUGUUUGGGAUAAUGCAAAUUAGUCCUUUGACCUGAGGCAUCACAGUUGUCUUGUGGUUAAGUCCUUGAUCAUUGAUUAUGUCAAAGUCACCCCAUCGGGGUGUCCACGGCAUCGUUGGGGUUAAGCCACUUAGUCAUGGAGGCAAGUGAAUGCGCAACAAGGGAUCUCUAACCUUCAAACCGUUUGAGGGAGAAUACUCUAUGAUGUGAUUUAGAAUCUCUGGCCAGAGUAUGAAUGAGAUUUAGAAAAGUCGUUCUAAAUCACAUUCAAGGAAAUCAUAUAAGCACACGAAUCACAUUGGAUAGUAGACAUGAAUAAAUAAACUAUCAAACCAAACAAUGUGGUCGGGAGUAUUAGAUUAGAGAAAGACCGUAUUGCAUUUGUAAUCCCAAACUGAAUAGGUUUUCUCUACCUCUUCUGAUUAGCUUGGGUAACCAUGAUAUGCUGCAAGGUGUCACUCAUGGUCUGUGGAAGCCCUAAACGUGUGUAAUCACUAAAGGGAGAAUUGAAAGUAAGUUUCAAUUCACAAUCAAUGUAAAAUGGUUUUAAUCGCCCACUACCUCGCUAAAAGGAACCUAAUGGAUCGCACACCGUGUAAGGUGGAGAUUGAAGAAACAAUGGAGAUGAGUAAGAAUGAUUAAAUGGUUUAAUCAUUUAUUUAUGGCAAGGAUUAAUUAAUAUGUUAAUUAAUCAAACGAAUAAGUUCGUUAAAGCCCUCGGAAUAGUUUUGGACCUUAAGGCCCAAUGGGCUUCGAACGUCAAGCCCAUUAACUUGAGUUGUAUGACAACUUAAUGAAUAAUGAUUCACAAAGGCCCAAUUAGUCCAAAAUAUCCUAAUGGCCGGCCAUAUUGUUUAGGGUAGUGAACUUGGACUUAUUUACAAGUUUGCCACUCAAAUGAAUAAAGGUAUAAAUAUGACUUUAUAGCCAAAAUUCAUUAAGGGUUUUCUUUUGGAGAAAAUUGGUGAGAACUUGUCUCUCCAUUUCUCUCUAAAGAGGCCGGCCACCUUGGGGGGUGCAUCUUGCAAUCCCACUACUCCAAGGUCACUCAUUUCUUCUCCAAUCUCUCCUUGGUGAAGAGACUUAGAGGUUCUCAAUUUUGGGAACUUGGAGAAACCUAUUCUUCCAUCCAAAUCCAUAGAUUUAAGAUGCAAGGAAUGAAGGCCCUUGAUAGGAGCAUUUUUAUGCGACUUAAUUGGCUUGUUCUCAUGCAUUUAUGUUGUUUUUCCUUAGUUAGUUUAGUGUUUAAAGUCAUUUUCGUGCAAUUUCAGGUUUUAUUGUCAAAGUAUGCAAAAAGGAGCAUUUUGGAGCUUUUAGGAGCAAAAUUGGGCUUGGAAUGAAGUGCAUAUGCAUGGAGCAAGGAGUUUGGACGAAUUUGAAGUCAAAAGAGGCUAGGAACAUGCUAAAAAUCUGGUGAAACAAAUACAAGUUGCAAGAAGGGAUAGGUUUCUAGAAGGAUUGACCAAAAUUUCACUCAAAACCAUGCCUACCCCAGAAAUUCAUCAAUGCCGUGGGUAUUGACUCACUUCCACCAGAAAUUUGAGUGAUUGUUCAAUACCUAACCCACUAGGAAAUUGAGUAGAUGAUUCAUCCCUAAAAUCACAGAAAUUCACAUCCUUGCCGUGCAUCCUUAUUGCUUUCCACCAGAAAUUUGAGUGAUGAUGCAAUGCCUAACUCACCAUGACAUUUGAGAUGAUGCAAUGCCUAACUCACCAUGACAUUUGAGUGGAUGAUUCAUCCCCAACUCAACAGAAAAUGAGUAGAUUGUGCACAGAAAUUGAGUGGAUGAUUCAAGACCUAACCCACCAUUAUUCUCCACAUCAAUGCCGUGUGUCACCUACUUGUUUUCCACCAGAAAAUUGAAUUAAACAAGUCCAUCCUCUCCCUAUAAAUACCCAUGGCAGCAGCCUCAUUGAAAUCAUCCAGAAAUUAACCAUUCUCCAAGCCUUGCCUUGCCUCUCCCUACAUAUCUAAACUCCUUCCCAUCCAUUCCUCCACAUAACCAACCCUUCAAAACAUCACUCCAACCUUGAGUUGCAGCAAAGAAGAAGAGGAAAGUUCUUGUACGUGCUUGCUAUCCAACAUGGAUCGUUGGAACGUUUAGGUGUUUUCUUUCUUUUGUUUUCAAUGUAUAAUUCUGUUUAUCUUUGUUUUGUGAACAUGAGGAACUAAACCCCUAUUUAGUUAGGGGGAAGUUUGAAGCCAUGAACAUGCUUGUGAUAUGAAUUGAUUUCUUCCAAUUGUGAUUUGAUAAGUUGUGAUUGCAAUUCAAUUAUCUAUUUUCUUCAUAACUGAUUCUUGUAUGUUUAUUAAGGAUGCAUACUUAGUUUUCAUACAUAAAUUAGAUGCUAGAAUAUAAAUGAGUUUCACCUAAUUGUUACAAGUUUAUAUCAUGAGUAGUGAAGGUUGCUUGUCACAAUCGCAUUAAUUGAAUUCUUGGCAAACGUAUCAUGCAUUCAUAGUUACAAUUGCCUCGUCAACACUUAUGAUUUUCAUUGAACGUAAUGAUCUCUGAUUGUAUCUCUAUUAUGCAUUCAUAUAGGGGACUUUUAGAGAAUAAUUUGGAUUGUCGCAUGCAUUCAUCCAAUUCAAUAAGUAAAGGAAAAUCUGAGGGUUAAUUUGUGCAUUACGGUCAAUCUGGGGUGUUGAGCAUCAUAGUUUAUUGAAAAGCAAUUGGAAAUCGAUUCAUGUACAAGUGUGUCAUGUGUGAAGAACGUAUCUCUAACUAAUCCAUCCAUCAUCUUAUUUCUCAAAUUCGUUUUACAAUCUGCCUAGCUAAAAAUCUAUUUAAGUUUUAGUUUAUUUGUUCUACUUUCAACUUCACCAAACCCAAAUCCCCCUUUUACUUUCUUGUUUUAAAGUCUUUUGUUUACAUUUUUAACUUUGUUUUUUUUGUUUUUGAGUCAGUUUAGAGGUUUUAGCAAGCCCUCCUAAUCCCCGGUUUAGAACGAUCCCUACUUACAUACUUUGCUACAAUUAUCAAAAGAGGGUUUAAUUUGUGUGCUUAUAUUAUUCGCAUUAGCCCUCUCUUUGGGUGAUUAGCCUUUGCUUAUGCUAAGAGGAAUCUACAAAGGUAUAAAUCUCAACUCACUUUGUUAUGAGUUGAUUAUUGGUUCACCAAUCUACUAGGCUUUGAAUUUCUUGGUUAAUGUUUUGUUUUUAAGUGCAUGCAAGCAUGAUUCCGCCUUUAAUUGUUAAUUGCAUGCUUAUAGAUGUUGCUUAAAUGAACAUGUUUUCACAAAAUAUUCCUUCAAGUGGUAUCAGAGCCUAGGUCUAGUAGUUGGUGAAUCCUUUUGGGUUUUGUGGUUCAUAGUUUGUGAUUUAAAAGUUGUAAUAUGUUACAAGCUUUAUUCUUGUUUCUUUGAAUGUAAAUUUUGUUAGAAAAUUUGCCAUCUCAAAUGUUGUAGAUGUAGUUCAUAUGAGCAUGAAUAUUGGAGCUAAAAUUUGGUGCCAUGACUUUGGGGAUUUUCGGUCAAAUCCAAAGGGUGGAUUUUUGGGUUCUUGUUUGACUUGUUAAAAGUGUUUUCAAGUGACUUUUGGAACCCCUAUGUACCCUAGUUUGGUUAGAUGUUAUUUCCCUAAAGUUUGAAUGGUUUUGGAAUGUUUUUGGGUGAAAAAUGUUCAUGGAAAAUUUUGAGUUUUUUCAUGAGUGUUCUUCAUUGUUCUUGACAUUUUUGCCAAGAACAAAAAGGUUUGUGUUUUGAUUCAAAGUUUUGAUUUAUUUCAUAAAGUUUAUGUUUUAUGUUUUUCAAAUGAUUUAUUGCAUAAGAUAUUUAUUUGAAUGGUGAUGGAAAUGGUGAUGGGUGUGUAAGGAUUAAUUCCCUUUCACACACACCACUUGCACCACUUGUUGCUUUAUGUCUAAAACUCACAAAUCAACACACACAUCACUCUAUCCUCUUCCAAAACCGGCCACCCCCUAGUGGGGGUACUUUUGGGGCCUUUUAUGCAAUUACAUAAAGUUUUGAUACUUUUGUGUAUUUGCACUUUGGCCCAAAAGUUUACGUUUUUACGUUUAGGUCCAAAAACGCUAAAGGACAAAUUGUUUUGCUCCUUUAAUGAAGUUUUUGCAUUGAUUAAAUUUUGGGUUCUAUUGUAAUUACAUGAAGUAGUAGACUUUUGUGUCUUUACAAAGUGACCCCAAAAGUUUUGCAAUAUAGCCCAAAAGUUGAGGUUAAUUGCUUUAUGGCCCAAAUUAGGUAGAGAACAAAAUUUGUUUUGUCUCUUUAAAUGAGAAUUGGAUUUUCAUUUUGUUUAGAUCCAUUUAAAUCAAUUUUAUGGAUACAAAAACCAAAUGAAAAUGUUGCAUUCAAUUUAAUUAGUUAAAGUGUUAAUUAAUUAAAGGGUGAUUAUGAACCUAAGCCUAAUAUAAUUGAGCUAUGUGAUAGGCCGUUUCAAAUUUGUUUGAACCAUGGGAAUGUGUAGAUUAGAUUUUGGUUGUAAUUUGAUUUGAUCAAAUGUUGUAAAAAGGGCUUAAGCUCUUCUUUACUUUAAAGUAAUUUGUUUAUUGCAAAUGUUGUAAUGAGCAUAAGCUCACCUUUACUUUGAAGUACUUCUUUCUUGCUUUAUUUGAUAUGCAUGAAAAUGAAGUAGUUGGGUCCAACGCCCCUAAGACAACACGCCUUAAUGUGAUUAAACGCGUAACUAAAAUCAAUCACCAUCCCUAGACCGAGAUUCAACACAAGGCUCGUGUUGAAUCUAAACAAAGGUUCAUAAUCAUCCUAAGGCCCUAAGGCAACUAUAUAGUCCAUCAAAUGAAUGCAAAGGUUAUGUUAGUAGUAUCAUAUACUCUUGCUUUAAAAACCGUUUUAUAAGCAUAGUGGGAGUAUUAUAUACAACUAAAAACAAUCAUAUGGACCCAUAGUUGUAAUAGGACCAAUAUUGUUUUAAUAGAGAUUAAAAUGUAUGUUUUUAUGUGAUGAGACCUAAAACCCUCAACCAAACCCUUAUUAAGUUGAUAAGCGUGAGAGUGCUUUGAACACUCUUUCGUGGCCUUCCACCGUGGUAGCUCCAAUCGUUUGUGACUCGUACACCGGCUUCAUCCUAUAAUGGGGGAGUACAAAGUGCGUGCUUACACUCAGGAGGAGUUCUAUAUACAUACAUGAUGAAGUGAGGUAGGCAACGAGUUUAGCCAACAUGAUAUAAUUCUGAGGCUAUGCUUGAACCCUUACACGAACUAGGCAUGGUGGGAAUGACUUAACUAAGUGCAAUGACGCCGACAUGAUAUAAUUCUGAGGCAAUCAUUCUCUAGAGGCCAAAUAAGAUGGGUACUUGCAUUAGAUGCAAAUGAGUAAGCGUACUCUCUCAUUAUUAUUAACGCUAGCCAACAUGAUAUAAUUCUGAGGUGGGCUUGGUAAUAGUGAGCCUCCCAUAACCUACUAAGAGUUUCCUCCAAAACUCUCGAAUUCCAAUGAGGGAUAUGGAAUUUGCCAAAAAUAGUGGGUGGUGCUAUUUGAUUUAAAGACCCGAAUCAAAUGGCUUAAAAUCAAUCAAUUUAUAUUCGUUAUGUAUUUGUUUACCAAUAUAUUUGCAAACGCUAUCCAAAACUUGACAAAGAAAAGCCGAUUGCUUUAGUUUCCGGACUUGGUAACACAAUCCCAAAGAUUGUCUUAAAUGGAUUGUAUAUGUACCUAAGUAGUCACAUCCUCAAAAUCGUUCUAUUGGUAAUGUAUCAUUGAAAGAACAUGUUAGAUAAGUCUAUCAUGAAGAGGACAACACAAACAACCAAUGCUUAAUCCUUUGUUAAAUGAACAAAGGAACUUACGAAGAUUAGCAUAAUGACAAGGACACUUUUAGUGUUAUUAGUUCUUUACUUACAAAUCGUUGUAUGGAGAAAUAAUAGUUGCUUUGAACAACCCUUAGUCAAUGCAAACACUAGUGCUUGUUUCUUUGUUAAAUGAACAAAGAAUUUGAGAAGAAAGCACAAAGGCAUGGACACUUUAUGUGCCAUGAUUCUUCACUUACAAAUUGUUGUAUGAAGAAAUGAGAGUUGCCUUGUCAACUCUUGAAGGUUUGUAAUUAUGUUUAGAACAUAAUGGUUGGUUGACAAAAAUAGUCCAUUAACAUGGACUUAUGAUGAUUUUGAAUCAUUGAGUGUUGAAGUGAUAAACCACUUAAUGAGACGGAAACUAGGCAAUGACUUCACCUUUGUGUCCCUAUCCUUAUGGUUCACUAAGUUUAUUGUAAACUAUAUAGUGAACAAUAACCACAUGCUCUCCAAAAUGUUUGAUGUGUAUAACACAAUUGAAAUAAGUUUCAAGAGAGAUAGUGGGAGUUUAGGGACCAUGACUAUUGUAGUCAAAGGAGAAGUCAAAUGAAGAAGAUUAAAUUAACUCCAAGGGAACAAACUUUCUUUAUGAAAGGAUGGACAUUGGAAGGGGUAUUUGCAAGAAAUGUCUUGCAAGUGUCAAGAACACACCUUUCGAAGGUGUUGUAAAUUGUUCUUGAAAAGUUCAAAACAGUUGGUUCUUCUACUUGAAUGCUUGAUUCCGUAUUAGUAACUAUGUUUUACAAUCGUUGUAAAAGUGUGACUAAUAAGAAGUAGAAGAUAUAUGAGAGAAGAAAAAGGUGCUUCACAUUCGGAACGUGAAUAAAAUAAAGAUCUCUGCGAAAGCAGAUAGUACUUACUUCCUCAUAUGAACUACCAAAGAAAUUGGAAAAACCAAAGAUUGUCUUUACAUUCCAAUUUUAAGGAACUAAAUUGGUCACUAUGUGAAAUGGAUAAAUGUUUUGUUUGACAAAACAAUGUUCUUUAUUAAUCAAUGAUUGGAUUAUGGUAAUCUAAUUGAUUAUCUCUAUAGUAGAGAUGAUAUGGUAGUGUUAACUGUUUAGAAUAUAAUGAUGCUUAAAACCCAAAAGGUUGCAAGGUAGUGACUAAUCCCAACUGAGUUGUGAUACCUCUAAAACAUAAAUUACGAGUUGGUCAUUGAUGGAUGCUUUGGAUCGUUAGAUCCGGAUCCAAUACCUUCUUGUUAAAAUUGUAUAGAGGCGAAAUGUUCGAAUCUUUAUUCUUUUGGAAAGAAGAAAGAAUCACAAAGUUGUUGAGGUUAAUUCACUUAGAUGUUAGUGGCACUUGUCCACAAACAUAAUACUACUCAUGUUGUAUGACAUUCACCGAAGAUCACUCUCGGUUGGACUAUAGUUUAUUUUGAAUAAACACAAGUCCGAAUCCUUUGCAAAAGUUUCAAAGAAUUCAAGAAAUGUAAGUUGAUGAGUAAGACAUCUAAAGUAUUUACCUCCUUAGAUUUGAUCCAAGGAAAGGUAACACUUUAGAUGAGUUUCCUUGAAAGAUAUCAAGAAAAAUAGCAUCAUAAGAUAAUGUAUUUCUCCAUUAGGAGAAGAACGAACUCGAAUAAGAUUUAGUUCGUUAGAUGUUAUCUAUUACCCAUAUAUAGGAUAUAUACUUCUAAAACAAUAUGAUUGUCAAUGAGAAGAUCUUCCAAUAUUUUCAUGACUCCAUAAGAUGUUGUUGGAAAGAAAGACAAAUCUUAAAACAUGUUAAGAUUUGGGGUUGUGUGCUAAUAAGCAAUAUUUGUUUGAUAACAAUCUUGUAGGAUAUCCUUAAAUUAACUUUUGGAUAUCGCUUCUAUAAACCAACUAACAAAUGUUGUUUUGUUGGGUUGUUCAUUGUAAUCCUACAAUGUGAUUUGCCUAACAGCAAAUGAACAAAAGAUAGAACUCAAAGAAUGGGUUCUUUGAGAGACAAGAUAAUAAUCAACAAAUAUAACAACCUAGUUCCUAUACCAAAAGCUCCAAGGUAGUCAAGAAGGAUUUAUAAACCGUCUCAGUUGAAUGGUUUGAACUUUAUGACCAUGUCAUAGAGUUACACCUCUUAAUUCGAAAGAAAUAAGAAUGAAAAUCCUUAUGACUACAUUGAGUGCAUAUACGAUAUAUACUCAAGGAAAUGGUAAAGUACCAUUUGACCCGAAAUAAUGAAACCUUCAUAAGCUAAUUGGUAGCUUAAGGUGACUACAAUCAAAGUAAAUGGUUGACUUUGAAGGAACCAUUUUUUACGUAGUCUUAGUUUCAAUUAAUUCGAAGAUUGCUAGCUACAACUAAAUGGUGAUUCAAUGUUUGGACAUAAUAUAGGUUUCCGAAACCAUUAUUAAGAUAGUCUUGAUAAUAUAUGUCUAAAACUAUAAAUCACAAGACAUGUAAGUUGUAGAGAUCCAUCCAUCAUGGAUCUUAGCAAGCUAGUGGGAGCUAUAAGCGUCUUAUGAGAGAAAGGUCAAAUCGUUUGAUUUCUCAUAAAGAUGUAAAUGAAUCUUUUGUUUACUAGGUUUACAAAAGAUUAGUGGGAGUUAAUCAUGUUCCUAAAUUUGUAUAUAUAUAUAUAUAUAUAAAUAUAUAUGUGAUAUAUAUGAAUGUAUAUAUGAUAUAUUAAUUUUGGAAAUGAAAAGAAUAUUUCUUCGUUAAAGUUAUGACUUUAAACAUUAUAUGAAGAUAGAAUGUAUAUGGGAGACAUAGUCUAUAUACAUGGGAUGGAAAUCUAUAUUGAUAGAUUUCAAGAUAUAAUUUGAUUAUAUCAAUCCUUAAUAAUAGACAAAAAAUACUAGGAAGUUUCUCAUAUGAUGAUAAACUUCAAUUAGAAGGACGACUCUAGUGUGACUAGCAAGUUGCCCUUCUCAAAGGGAACAUGCCCUUUUGACUCCCCAAGAAAUAAUGCGUAUAUAAGAAUCCUUUAUGCAUACGCAUAAAGGUGAUUUAUGUAUUUCAUAUUGUAUGAAAAACAUUGAUAUGAGUUGUACCUAGAACAGGUACAAGACGAUGUCAGUGCAAGCCCAGGAUCACAACCAUGGCAAAUGUCAAGUGAAUCCUUAAGUAUUUAAGAAAUACUAAAGGAUAAAUUCCUCAAAGAUCGAGGAAGAAUUAGAGUAACGUAAUGGAAGCGUAAAUGUAUUAGAUUGUGAAUCUAAUCCAUCAUUGGAUGUUUCUUCAUUAUGAAUGAAGAGAUAAACGGAUAUCUCUUUAUUAUGACUAAAGAGAUAUUUGGAUGGAAACAUUAAAGUAAUGACUUUAGUGUGUUCCAUUAUGAAAGCAAAAUAUAUUUCCAUAUAGAAGCUUACAACAAUGUUGUUUGGAUGGGAAAGUUCAUUUAUGAACUCUCUAUUCGGUUCCAACCAGAAAGUGUAUCUAGUGUACUGACACUAUGACACUAAUAGGGCGAUAGCUCAAGCCAGGGAAUCAAGGUCUCAUCAAGGUCCGAACUCAAAUGAGAGACUGAACCACAUGAUUGAGAAUCAUGUAUAGUAGUGACGUCGUUAUUCUCAAGGUUGCUUCUAUGGAUAACAUAUAGAUAUCCAUUGUCU